AUGAAAAACGUAUAAUUGAGAAUUAAGACAAAUUACUUACAUGUGAAUGUAUAGGCAAAAGCGACCAUUCUUCAUAAGCUCUUCAAUAAUUUCUUCAUGUAACGGAUCCUGAAAAAUCCACAUUGUUUGAAAUCAAGUUGUGAAUUAAGACUCUAUGCUCUCUCUGUUAUGAACAUAUCUAGACCACCAGUCCUAAUAAAUAUUAUUUGGAGAACUAAUCUAUGUUAAUAUGGCAAUCUACAUGUUCAAUGCAAAAUAUUAACUACAGAUUUUUACAAAUUUACUGCUCAUAUUCACUAACUAUCCAGAAGAAACAGUUUGGUGGACGAUUUAAUAGGCCUCCCAUAAUCAAAACAGAAUGAAAAUUUUACAGUACCUAUCUGUAUGUUCCUAGAAUAUAUCCACCAAAUUUCAACUCAAUCGGACUCCAUUUACUAUGUCUACAGAUUUUUACAAAUGUACUGCUCAGAUUCACUAACUAUCCAGAAGAAACAGUUUUGGUAGACGAUUUAAUAGGCCUCCCAUAAUCAAAACAGAAUGAAAAUUUUACAGUACCUAUCUGUAUGUUCCUAGAAUAUAUCCACCAAAUUUCAACUCAAUCGGACUCCAUUUACAUGUCUACAGAUUUUACAAAUUUACUNNNNNNNNNNNNNNNNNNNNNNNNNNNNNNNNNNNNNNNNNNNNNNNNNNNNNNNNNNNNNNNNNNNNNNNNNNNNNNNNNNNNNNNNNNNNNNNNNNNNNNNNNNNNNNNNNNNNNNNNNNNNNNNNNNNNNNNNNNUUCAUAGGCCUCCCAUAAUCAAAACAUAGUGAAAAUUUUGCAGUACCUAUAUGUAUGUUCCUGGUAUAUAACCACCAAAUUUCAAUUCAAUCGGACACCAUUUACCAUGACUACAGAUUUUUACAAAUUUACUGCUCAGAUAAGUGAAAACGUCCGACAUAAUCAGUUCGAGGGACGAUUUCAUGGGCCUCCUGUCAUCGAACUGUAAUGAAAAUUUUACAGAAUCUAACAAUAUGAUCCUAGUAUAUAUUCACCAAAUUUCAUCCACAAUAGAAGAAAAACCCACCUCUAAACCUUGGCGACAAGAACGGAGGCACGGCAGCAAGAACGGAGGCACAACGGCGAGAAUGGAGGCACGGCGGCGAGGAAACUAGUUGCUCCUGCUCGUCGGCGGUGUCUCACGGUCUUGGUUUGGUUGAGAGAGAGAGGCACGGUAGUGAUAAUAUUGUGUCUUUCUUUGGUGGUAGUGGUAGGGUUUGCGAGGGUGGGGCACCAUAAGUAGAGAAGAGGAGACACGCUCAUACACUACGGUAAUUGAUAAAGUGUAGAGAUAAACAUCAAAGUCACGCUCAUACACUACGUUUUAUGGAAAUCGUAGUAAUAGACUACUAUAGACUACACGUCGGACUACAUUUUGUUCACCAGUGUAGUCUAAAAUUUAAAAAUGGCGCUCAUACACUACGGUUCACCAAAAAAAGCGUAGUCUAUACGAAUAGACUACGUUUUUUCUAUAAAACCGUAGUUAUAGGGGUGUAGAGAUAGCCUAAAUUUGUAGUAGUGAGUCUUCAAUCUUCUGAUCUCCUUGAGUCUGAAAGAAGUAAAGUCUUCUUUCUUGGAGAUGGUGUUGCAGGCCGAUGUGACACAGCAGGUGAGGCUGUGUCAGGAAGGACGAUCUCCUAUCUUCGGUAAUUAAUGCUUUUGUCCUUAGCAUUAAUUGCGCCAAGUACAACGGUUGACUAAUUUAGCUUCUUGAGAGAUGGACUAUCGAUGCUUUUCCAAAGUAUCAGUCAGAGUAUAUGUAGUCCUCAGUGUCGUUAUUUUAGUCGGCUCUGCUGAUCAUGUGUCCUUCAGUCAACAACCUUCUUCCUUCAGUCUGGUGCCUUCAGUUAAAGUCUUUAGUUUUUGCCACUUCAGUCUAAACUAGUGAGGACUAAAACACUUAAAUCCAUAAAGAGAAAAUCAAACUAAAAAAGCUUUCUAAUAGUUUUGGUAUCAUCAAAACCAGAAGGUUGGAUAUAUCUUUUUGUGUCUCAACAACCGCUCGCCGGCCUCACCAUAGGAGGAGCCACGGCUGAUCUAUUUCAGCGAGCAAAAGUGAAGAAGACAUGGAGAGGCAAUGAAGAAAGUCGAAAAAUGCCGACCCCUCACCGGAAUUACAGAGGCCGACCCAUAUUAAUAGGAGGAAAGAGAGCUGAUUUAUUGGGAUCCUUGCAUCUUGAACACAAAUGUUGGGAUCAUUGCAUCUUGAGAACCAAGCAAAACUAGUUAGCUAAUGUGCAAUUUUAUUCACUUUCAUCUUUUCAUAUGACAAAACUCCGAAGCUUGCAUGAUUGAGAGGCUUCAGCAUCAUCAUUAAGUGAUUAUAAUCCCUUGUACGUACGUUUCGUGUAUAACAACGACUCAACUAUGGAUUAUUAGACAUGUGAAAUCAUGUUCAAUUUAAUAUCAUCACCAACUUGCAUUUCGGAUAUUUAAUAACCUAAUCGACAAUUCGACAUACACAAUUAUUAUCAAUAUUAUAAUAUAAAUUGGAUGACUUUCUCUUUAUUUUGUAUUUUUUUUAAUUGAGUUCUUACACUUUCAUAUUUAUAGAAUUAAAUUCGUAAAUUUGUUAUUUGCUAAUUAAUGCGUUCUGUAUAUUAAUUUAUUUAAUAACCUAAUCGAUAAUUCGACAUACACUUUCAUAUUUAUAGAAUUAAAUUCGUAAAUUUGUUAUUUUCAUUAUCAAAUAAUUUUCAAUUAUUUAAUAACUAUAAUUAUUAUUACAUUUUAUACGAAAAUGAAAAUUUACGUUUUCAAAUUCAGAUUGAGUAAUUAAUGUGGAUUAUUUUAUUUUAUUUUAAAAAUAUAUUAUGCAUUUGCUUAUAUUUUAAUUAUGUUUAAUAUUUCUAUUUAUUUAUUUAUAUCGUUUAGUUUUGAUAUUUACUGUGCAUCGCACGAGCGGACAUACUUGUAUGAGUAAGAACAGUUUGAUAUGCAAUAAUUGAACGUUAAUGCAAAUGAAAUUUAUAGGUUCGAUUUUAACAAAUAAAUAUAUAUGGGACCUAAUAUGUAUUUUUUAUUUAGAUAUAUUUCAAUCUAUUUGUACUAUAUACACUUUUUUUUUUUUUUGAAAUGAUACUUCCGCGUAUAUAUAUAUAAGUUUGAUCAUUACACAUUUAUAUAUUAUAUGAUACAAAUGUUUUAAGAAACGAUAACCACCACCAAGGGAACGUUAAUAUAUAUUAAAGACAACUCUUUGUAGUAUAUUUUUAUUUUUAAUAUAUAUAACUAGCUAGUACGACCAUUCGUGCGAUGCACGAACAAACAUCGAAAUUAAAAAGAUAUAUUUAAAUAAACAUAAAUAUUAAACAUAAUCAAAUAUAAGUUUUCAACCUUUUGUAAUGCAUAAUGAUAAUUAUUUUUAUUAAAUAAAUUUAAAAAUUGUAUUAUAAUGAAAAUUAGCAUUACACAUUUUUAUUAUAGAGUAUUACGCAUCAUAAUAAUUAAAUAAAUAAGUAAAUAUUUUCAUAUGCAAAUAUAAAUAAAAAAGUUGUAAACUUUUAACGAAAAAAGAGAAAGUAAAAUAUUUUAAAAUUUUCAUAAUUUUUUCAUUUUUAAUGAUUUUUAUAUUAUAUUAAAUUUAAGAUGUAUAUUGAAUAUUUUUUCGUGAAUCAAAUUUGAAAAUGUUUACAAAAUAAAUAAAAAAUAUAUAAAAAAAUAAAAAAAUAGUUGAAAAAUUGGUGGAAGAAUAGAGGGAAAAAAUGGAAGGAAAAAACUCUUUUAUAUAUUAUAUAGAUUUUACACAAAUCUCCUGUACACCCAGGUGUGCCGUACACCCGGGUUGACCCGUACUCAGAUCCUGACCCGCAUGUUAAUCUAAACCCGCAUCCUGACCAAAUAGUGUAAAUGACACUAUUCAAUUAUGCAAAUGACACUGCUUAUAAUUGACACUAUUCAAUUAUAUAAAUGACACCGUAACAUUUUAAAAUGUUAUAGUGUCAUUUUCAAUCUUAUAGUGUUAUUUAAAAUAUUAUAGCGUCAUUUACAAUCUUAUAGUGUCAAUUCCAGGAAGUGUCAUUUAUAUUUCUAAAUAGUGUCAAUUAUACACAACGUCAUUUACAAUGUUAUAGUGUCAUUUAUACGCAGUGUCAUUUGUAUAACAGAAUAAUGUCAAUUACAAGCAGUGUUAUUUGUAUAACUAAAUAGUGUUAUUUACACGAUUUGAGUCAUUAGGAUGCGGGUUUGGAUCAGGACGCGGAUCAAAAUUUGGGUACGGGUCGAACUCGGAUGUACAGUACACCCAGUGUACCCAAAACCACCUCUAGAUUUUAUUUUGGUUUGGUUCGUGGAUUGGAAAACUUCACACAACGUAAAAAUGUUGAUUUAAAUACAAGACAUAUUAAUAGUUAGAACCACUCAUUGCGGGCCUCAUGGGCUUAAUAGCACUCCGUAAUUAGAAUUUAGCUCUAUCGUUAUGCUUUAAUCUUGUUAUCACAAACUUAGAGUGUAAUGCUGAAAUAAGAAAAUGAAAUGAUUAAGAAGUACGUAUUGUGUAAAAGUUUAACUUUAUCACCAAAAACACUGAAAUGUUUUAAAUUAUGACUUCCAUAUUAAGACAUACAUAAAAUAAACAGAGACUAUAACUAUUAGUGCGAAAAUCAAUCAAAGCCCCAAUCCCUUGAAAAAUACUUAUCUAUUGAUUAGGUACAUUAAUAUGUCCCAGCUUCUCUAUUUUAUAUGUUUAUGAUUAAUUUAAUGUAUUAGCUUGGAUACUAUAUGCAAAUUAAUUCACUACAAAAAAAACGCGUAAAUAGCGACGAAAACUACCGACGGCGAGCCGCCGCCAGCAAUUAUCGACGGCACGGCGGCGGCAAAAAAGGCGACCCGCCUUUUGACUAUUACCGGCGCAUUACCGACGGCAAAACGGGCCGCCGCUAAUUAGCGGCGGUUACGCCGUCGCUAAUUUAAAUAUAUAUUAAUAUAAAUAUAUAUUAUUUAUUACCGACGGCAAUUGCCGUCGGUAUUUACCGGCGGCAACCGGCCGCCGCUAAUCACCACCGCCGGUGACAUCCGGCGAUAGCACCACCGCCGUCCGGCCAAAAUUACCGACGGCAUUUUUCCGCCGCUAAUUACCGACGGCAAAUGCUAAUUACCGCGGAAUUUUAUAUUAUUUUUUUUAAUUUUUUUAUUUUUAUUUUUAUUUUUUUUCUAUUAUCAUUAUAUGAUAAGAUAAAAUACAAAAACAUUAAAAUAAAUAAAUGAAAUUACACUAGUGAAAAUUACAUAUAUACUAAUCUAAAUUAUUACUAAGAAUUCAAGAUUCUUAGUAAGAAUAAGAAUCUUAAAUUAUAACUUAAGAAUGUUAAUUUUAGUGAUUACUCAUCAAUCAUCACUAAUCCAAGAUUAUUACUAAGAAUUCAAGAUUCUUAGUAGAACUUAUAAUUAUAACUUAAGAAGUUAAUUUGAUUAGUGAUUCACUCAUCAAUCAUCACUAAUCCAAGAUUAUUACUAAGAAUUCAAGAUUCUUAGUAAGAAUCUUAAAUUAUAACUUAAGAAUGUUAAUUUUAGUGAUUCUCAUCAAUCAUCACUAAUCCAAGAUUAUUACUAAGAAUUAAGAUAUUAUGAGACUAUAAUUAUAAAUUAAGAAUGUUAUUGAUUAGUGAUUCACUCAUCACUCAUCACUAAUAUAAUAUUAUUACUAAUAUUAUUAUUAAUCUAAUAAUAAUCUAAUAUUAUUAUUAAGAAUUGAAGAUUCUUAGUAAGAAACUUAUAAUUAUAACUUAAAAAUGUUAAUUUGAUUAGUGAUUCACUCAUCACUAAUCUAAGAUAAUAUUUCUAGUAAGAAUUCAAGAUUCUUACUAGAUUGAUAAAAUACUUAUGGUGUAUAAACUAGAUUGAUAAAAAAAAAAAAAAUGAAAAUUAAUAAUAAAUUAAUAAAUAAAUAUUUUUCUGAUAUAAAAAUAAGAACGGAAACGAGCCCAAUCCGUAAUUAACAAUAUUUUUUGGAUAUUAUCUCGACAUAUACUAAGGUUAUGAAUAUAUAUGAUAUUGUAUAUUGAAGUAGACUUUAAAUGAAUUAAUAGAUACUAUAUAUAUCAAUAAUACGAGUGUUCUGUACUGGUGAUCAUUCGAAAAGAACUUCAAGGUUAAGCGUGCUUGACUUAGAGCACAACUAAGAUGGGUGACCUACUGGGAAGUUCGUAUAAAUUAUGCAAUACUAUAUAAAUACGAAAAUAAAUUGUGGAUAUACGAUAAAAUAAAUAAAUAAAAUAAAUAAAUAAAAAAAUAAAAAAAAUAAAAUAAAAAUAAAAUAAAAAAUAUUACCUAGGGCAAAAUGCCGUCGGUAACGGCAUAUUGCCGUCGGUAAUUACCGACGGCAUUUUGCCCUCGGUAAUAUCUUGACCAACUCCGGCGGUGGCGCUCCGGUGGAAAUUACCGACGGCGGUGGCGCCGCCGCUAAUUAGCGACGGCAUUUGCCGUCGGUAAUUUUCCGGCAACUCUCCCGUCGUUCAACGGCGGAAAUACCGGCGGCGAAGCCGCCGUUAAUUGCCGGCGGCGGCCGAUCGCCGUCGGUAAUGGAGUUGCCGACGAACCGUUUAGCGACGGCGAGUUGCCGCCGGUAACGCCGCCGGUAACACUAUUUACCGGCGGCCGUCUUUUGUUACCGACGGCAUUUCGCCGUCGGUAAUCUACGAUUUUUUUGUAGUGACUUUUUCAUAUGUUAUAGCUAGAUGCAACAUAUAUUGAAGAGCCAUUCAUAAGAAAGCCGGGCAUAAGAUAUUUUUAAAAUUAUUAUCAUUGCUUCUAUUAAUCAUAUAAAGCAAUUAGCUGCCAGCACAAUAUUAUCAGGAUUUUCGAACUCAUAAGAAAGAAUAGGAAACCAAAUAUGGAGGAGACAUAAAAAGGUUGAGCCGUAGUAAAAAAAAUUAGUGAACACUGAGAAUUGCAGUGUACUUAUCUUGAGGGUUUAUUUUAUGCUUCAUAUUAGGAGACCACCACGGAGGGAGGUCAUGUUAAAAGUUGAUACGAUAUACUCCCUCCGUCCCAACUUUUAGUAUUCAACUUUCCUUUUUUGGUUGCCCCAUAUUUUGGUAUCAAUUUCUAUUUUUAGUAAAAGUAGGUGGGACCCUUACUCCACUUUAAUUAUUUUAACUCUCACAUAAAAUGUGGGACCCUUAUUCCACUCACAACACACCAAUCACUUUAUUAAAAUCCGUGCCGUUCUCAACUGGAUACCAAAAGCCGGGACGGAGGGAGUAGUUCAAUAUAAAAAAACUGCCUUUGAUGAACGUCCAUUUAUAGAUCAAGAAAGAAUAACAAACAAACUAUAAAGUAAACUGUCAAACAAUCAACAAGUCAAGAUCUAGAAAACAAACAAGUCCUCAUAUGAAAAGACUAUAAAGCAAACUGUCUAACAAUCACAAAACUGUCAGAUGGCAUAAAACCAGCCAAUGGCAGGAGAAAAUUUCAAUCAUUCCAUUUAAUCAAAAAUAAGCUUUUCAAACACAGUCAACAAGCCGUAUGCUAAAGGAAUUUUAUUUUAUUUUUCAGAAGAAUACAAGUAUAUGGAGUUGAAUGAAGCAACAAGAUUUAAAGGUGAUCGAGCAGAAUAUGCUUACCAGGUCUAACUUAGGAAUCUUAACCUAAUCUCAGCCUCAUUUAUUAUUGUUGGUGGAUAUUAAGUCGUUAACAUAGUUAUUCUGUCAGAAUAACCCAAAAGAAAUAAAGAAAGAGCUAUUGGCAUAGAAUGCCACAGCUCAUACAAUCAUAUUCAGCAACAAAAGAUGAUAUUGACAUUCAAAAAAUCAGUAACAGCCUAUAUAUUGCAUGUUUCAAUAACUCACCAAGUGUCUAGCUGCUAAGACCUUUUGUAGAGAUCUUACAUCAGCUGAAAACCUGAGGAGGCCAUCACAGAUUUGUCCGCUCUGCAUGGUAAAAUGAACCAAAUAAUCUAUCACGUGUAAAUUAUGUGACAAAGAUAUAGAAUAGCAAAUUUAACAAGAAAAUCAAAAUCAGUAUAUGCCAUAGGCAUCACUAAGAGACAAGAAAUGGGAUAAGAGCGACCAAUUAAACUUCCAGAAGAAUAAAUAAAAAGAAAAUCAUACUAGUGAAAAAUGUAGCAUCAUAACAAAAAUUAUCCCCAAGGAAGGCUCUGGGGACAUGAAGAUUAAAUAGAGAUGGAUAUUGUAGCAUCUAUCUUUUCAUAUUGUUUAGGGAUCAACGACAAGAAGCCUAGACAAAUGUUUUAUAUUGUUUAGGGAUCAAUGACAAGAAGCCUCGACAAAUGUUUUAUAUCAAGCACGUGUCCACGCUCCAAGACGCAAAUACUUCAACCAAUAGAGCUAAGUCAGUCCAAAUCGAACCAUGUAUGUAUGUAAAUCAUGCAGAGAGUUACAUAAUACUAACAACUUAUCUCCAGAACUCUUUCCAGUUUCUAUUAUAAUUAUUUUGGCAAGCCAAAUUCACAUUUCCAAGAGCUGAAUUGCUAGAGGAUGAAAAGUGAAUCAAGAGAAAAUUGAUUAAUCAAAUUAUAUUUGGCCACAUAGUAUUACAGGCCUCCUCCACAUGUUCGAUUCACAAAAAGAAUCAACACCUUCCCACUCUAGGUAUGGAUCUAACACCCCCAGUUCAAUUUACACAUCAUAUCUUCCUUUCGUACUUCAACUUAGCCAAGAGAAUAGUUAAUCAGAAGGAUCACUCAAAUGAGGGAUAAGAAACUGUUCUUUUUUUCCCCCCAUUAUUUCCCACUUGAUUCUCCCUACAGAAACAUAUAAUGCAAGAAAAUCUGGUUACACAAUCAUUACCGUUCAUUUAACACCUUACAAAUGCACAUCAAAAUCGACUCAACGGUCAAAACACAGUAAAAAGCGGAAGGAUUUACAGCUGAAUAAUUUUGGAGUAAUCGCGAGAUUCGAGUAUCGGCCGCAAUCACACAGUAAUCAGCUCCGGCAAUCGCAACACAGGUCCUGCACAGAAAACACAAAACAUCCAAACAGAUAAGCAGCUAGAAUUCGGAAGCGCCGUUCACUUUGUUGAUAAAUAAAAAGAUCCAAUUAGGGUUUUCACAUACCUCCAUUGUCGUCGUAGGGAGACCAAUUUGCUUGCUGCUUUGGUAACAUCCAGGAACGCAAAGAAAAAUUAACAUCUAAGAAUGCAAAGAAUUGAAUGAAUGAAUUCUUUAUUCAUAUGUGCGUAUUUCAAGAAUGAACAGUUUAUCUGGAAAAGCGUUAGUGCUAUACACCGUUUCUCAAGAAUCUAAAAAAUAUGAAAAAGCGCUAUAACGUUUUGUCCUCUAUUAAAAAAAUAAACUAAAAACUAGUAAAACAAGAAGACGCGGCGCUUAGCGGCGAUCCAGCGCUGUCAACUUUCUCCGACGCCGUCAUCGCCGCUUUCUACGGGGCCACCUCCACCGCGUGAGCCUAUAACGAAUCCGUAGCCGAGCAUCGGCGGCAUGGCGAUGGGCUUAGGAUUGAACCACCGAGGAGUUCCGGCCGGCCUGAAAACAAUAAUCCGGCCCUCAGGGCGGGCGGGCAUGGGCGACGGCCCAGGGCCACAAAAAAUUGAGGGCUCAAUUUUUUGAUAUAUUCUAUUAAUUAUAGGCUUUAUAUUUAUUAAUUAUAGGCUUUAUGUAAAAAAUAUUAGAUAACAUAAUACUUGUAUAUAAGAGAAGAGAAAACAAACCCUAACUUUUUGUUUAUUAGGGAUGUGCCAAGUAUGUACUUUUGUUGUCCUUUUUAGGACUAGCAUUCACUUUUUUCCAUCUCCUUUUUUUUCUCACUUGAGACAUGGANNNNNNNNNNNNNNNNNNNNNNNNNNNNNNNNNNNNNNNNNNNNNNNNNNNNNNNNNNNNNNNNNNNNNNNNNNNNNNNNNNNNNNNNNNNNNNNNNNNNNNNNNNNNNNNNNNNNNNNNNNNNNNNNNNNNNNNNNNNNNNNNNNNNNNNNNNNNNNNNNNNNNNNNNNNNNNNNNNNNNNNNNNNNNNNNNNNNNNNNNNNNNNNNNNNNNNNNNNNNNNNNNNNNNNNNNNNNNNNNNNNNNNNNNNNNNNNNNNNNNNNNNNNNNNNNNNNNNNNNNNNNNNNNNNNNNNNNNNNNNNNNNNNNNNNNNNNNNNNNNNNNNNNNNNNNNNNNNNNNNNNNNNNNNNNNNNNNNNNNNNNNNNNNNNNNNNNNNNNNNNNNNNNNNNNNNNNNNNNNNNNNNNNNNNNNNNNNNNNNNNNNNNNNNNNNNNNNNNNNNNNNNNNNNNNNNNNNNNNNNNNNNNNNNNNNNNNNNNNNNNNNNNNNNNNNNNNNNNNNNNNNNNNNNNNNNNNNNNNNNNNNNNNNNNNNNNNNNNNNNNNNNNNNNNNNNNNNNNNNNNNNNNNNNNNNNNNNNNNNNNNNNNNNNNNNNNNNNNNNNNNNNNNNNNNNNNNNNNNNNNNNNNNNNNNNNNNNNNNNNNNNNNNNNNNNNNNNNNNNNNNNNNNNNNNNNNNNNNNNNNNNNNNNNNNNNNNNNNNNNNNNNNNNNNNNNNNNNNNNNNNNNNNNNNNNNNNNNNNNNNNNNNNNNNNNNNNNNNNNNNNNNNNNNNNNNNNNNNNNNNNNNNNNNNNNNNNNNNNNNNNNNNNNNNNNNNNNNNNNNNNNNNNNNNNNNNNNNNNNNNNNNNNNNNNNNNNNNNNNNNNNNNNNNNNNNNNNNNNNNNNNNNNNNNNNNNNNNNNNNNNNNNNNNNNNNNNNNNNNNNNNNNNNNNNNNNNNNNNNNNNNNNNNNNNNNNNNNNNNNNNNNNNNNNNNNNNNNNNNNNNNNNNNNNNNNNNNNNNNNNNNNNNNNNNNNNNNNNNNNNNNNNNNNNNNNNNNNNNNNNNNNNNNNNNNNNNNNNNNNNNNNNNNNNNNNNNNAGAAAUUUUAUUUUUUUUCUAAGGUAUUGAAUGUGCUGCUUCAAAUUUUAGACGACGGAAGGCUGACCGACGGCAAGGGCAACACGGUUGAUUUUAGCAACACCGUCGUGAUACUAACGUCGAAUGUGGGAAACGACGACGGGCUCAAGCGCGCUUUCAAACCGGAACUGCUCAACAGAUUCGACGAAAUCGUGGCGUUCAAGCCGUUGCACAAGGAGCACAUACAGGAAAUACUCGAAAUCUUGAUCCGCAAAUUCUGCGACAGAGUGGCUUCCAACAAGAAUAUUAACGUUGCGAUUAGCAAAGGAUUGAAGGAAAAGCUGGUUUCAAAAGGAUACGACAUGAGGUAUGGUGCUCGAGCUCUCAAGAGGGCUAUAUGGCUAGAUUGGUUGAAGAUAAGUUGGCACAUGAAAUCUUGAAGGAGACAGUGGUGGAACAAGAUUAUGUUAUCAUGGAUGUUGUUGUGGAUGAGGAGAUGGUUUUGGUCAAACAUUCCAAAUUCCAAAUUAUUAUGAGAUGUGGAUUUGGAUUAUUUGUACACAACAACAAUAUCAAUGGUAGAUGUAGAUUUAGAUUAUUUGAACACGUCUACAACAUAGGUUUUCAACGGGCAAUUGGACUAGCGGAAAUUAUACAUGUUGUAAAUAGAUAGGAUUAGGAUAUAUUCUUUUUCAUUAUUUUUAGAAACUAGAGACAUUUUAGAGGGAUAUGAUAUUUUUAUUUUAUUUUAUCAUUCAACCAUGCACUAAUUUUAAUGCAUGUAUUUAUUCAGACUUUACCGUCUGUGGUUUAGGUGCUAAUUUCAACUAACUAGCAUCUGCAUCCCGCACAGGAAAACAUUUUUAAUUUUUAUAAAAUUAAAUUUAAUUGAAUAUAUUUGAAAAAAUAAAAAUGAAUUCACAAUUAUAAAAUUUGAUAUUAUGAAAAACAAAAACAAAAAAAAGUUAAAACAAUUAAAAAUAAAAUACUAAUUAAAAAGAAUUAAAAUAUAUUUAUUCAAAAAAAAUGAGCUGAGAGGAGAGAGAAAUUUAUAGAACUUUAAUAUUUAAACAAAUUUAAUUUUUUCAUUUUAAAUUAAAUAUUUUCAUAAAAUAUAUCAUAUUAAAGCUCUUAUCAUGAUCUUUAAUUUGAUAUUCAUAUUAAAUAUUUUAUAAUUAAUCCAAUUUCAUAAUUUUGGAAAGAAAUGUAACAACAAAUAAGAAGUUAAAGAAAAUAAAAAUAAAAAGAAAAAUAGUUUAAACAUAAACCUUCAAUUUUAUUAUAAUUACAAAAUUGCCAAUCAAUUUGAAAUUGAAAACUCUCUUUUUAAUAUAGUAUAGAUAUAGAUUAAGACUCUUUUACUAUAUAUGUAUGAACAUCAGAGUGCAUGCAACGGAGUAAACCUUUUUGUGCUAGUAUUAUAGAAAUAACCACAAUCUCUUUUUCCCUUCAAUCAAUAUGUCAGGGGUUCGAGUCAUCACAGGGAGAAAAUGAAGAAGUAUUAUUAGUCCAUUAUUUGAAGAGUUAUAUCUUGUUCACAUUAAUUUCAUAAAAGAAAUGGUAUGAGAAAGUAGAGAGUAUCUUGUGCUUUGGCAUUUUGGUCCAAAAAGGUAAACCAACUCUGCCCCUUCCAAAUAUUUUCUUCAUACCUCAAAUAAACAAUGCUCAUAAAUAUUAAUAUUUUACUCUAAGAAACAUCUUCAAUUUGUUGCUUUUUCAACUGGCGUAGCCCUCCCAUCACGUCCAACAACUCAUAUAGUGUUAUUUAAUCCAAGAAUUGGAACACAGCUAUAACUAAUUCAACAACCUCAGAGAAAACAAUGUGUGCAGCCAAUCGGCAGCUCUUUGCAUGAUCAUAAAGUUUGAAGAAAGCAAAAAAUAUAUUUAGACGUCGAAAUAUUAUAUUCAUGGAAGACUUUGAAGUCAAGUGUAGUCCAGAGCUAAUUGAUGGGGUGUGGUCAAUGGUCCGGGCUCUGAAUCGUUCAUUAGGGCCCGAAUCAAAACUGAAACCGUGAAAUGCCCGGUGCGAGUAAGUGCCAAAAUUUCUUGAACUGAAAACCGACAGUUAAUCAUUGGGUCGAACCGCCCAAAAUCGGGGAUUUUUAGGUUUUUAAAUUUUUUUAUUUUUUUUUUGGAUUUUUUUAAAUUAGUUACUCAUUUCGUCCCAUGAAUCUUGAGUCACUUCUUUUGGACAUGAGAAUUAAGAAAAUAUAGUAUUUAGUGUGUAAAGUGUGGUAGGUGAAAAAAUGAAAAAUGAAUAAAGAGAAUUUUUUUUUGCCAUAUAAGUAAAUGACUCAAGAUUCGUGGGACGGAGGGAGUAUUAGUGUUUAGACUAUAGUAGUUUAGAAAUUUUAGUGUAGUAGUUAUUACUUAUUCAAUUUUGUAAUUUGACGAUUGUAAUUUAUUUGUACAUGUAAAUUGUACUCCCUUCGUCCGUCAAGAUUAUAACACAAUUAUUAUAUCGGACGUCCGCCAAGAUUAUGUCACUUUCCUUUUAUGGCAAUGGUCCCACUAUUUACUUUUAUAUUUUAUCCUUACAAACACUCUUUAUUUACAAAAAACUCACCCUAAAUUCAAUCUCAACCACACAUCUCAUAAAGUGGUGGGACCCUUCCUCCACUACAUCAAAAUCAUCAUCAAUUUUAUUAAAUGUCGUGCCCAAGUAAUUUGCCAUAAUCUUGGCGGACGGUGGGAGUAUUUUUUUUUUCUUUGAAUUUAAUAAAAAAGUAAAUUUUAUUACAUUUUGGGUGUAAUGUGUUAUAAUUUUAUUUCAUUUAUAAUUUUUUCAAUAAUUUCGUUACGUGUGAUGUAUUAAAUAAUGUAAUGUCAUAAGAAAAAUAUACACAAUACAUAAAAUAAAAUAAAAUACGAAAACCGCCGGUUCGGUUUCCGGCCAGUGGACAACACUGGUCAAGUGUAUAAAGUCUAUAAAUCCACAUACCUUAACCUCAGGUUUCUACACAGCACAACACUAUCCCUCUUCAAUGGCUAUCUCUUUGCUUUUACAAUUUCUUUUCAUCAUUCUACUUCCACAAUCAAUUGCCAAAACACAUGUUACUGAUCAUGCUCAAACACACUGCAUAGAGCAUGAGAAAACUUUGUUGCUUGAGUUGAAGAACCAACUGGUAUUCAAUUCAUCUUAUUCAACAAAUCUGGUGCAAUGGAACGUCGACGAAACGGGUGAUUGUUGCAUGUGGAAUGGUGUGGAUUGCGACGACGCCGGCCAUGUUAUCAGGUUGUGGCUCAAAGAUGAGGCCAUUUCAGGUGGAUUUAAUGAGUCAUCCAGUCUUUUCAAUCUCAAGUUCUUGAAGAAGCUCAGCUUAUCCGACAAUUUGUUCUCAUCUUCUUUACCACAUUCUAUUACCAAUCUUGAGAGUUUGUCUCAUUUAUACCUCUCCAAUGCCACAUUCAGUGGCACGAUUCCAUUGGCUCUUGGUAAUCUGACGCGACUAGUCCACGUGGACUUGUCACACAACUUCUUCAGUGGCUCAAUUUCUUCCAUCCACUUUGAAGGUCUUUACCAAAUUGAUACAAUUGAUUUAAGCUACAACUCACUAAGUGGCAGCAUUCCCAAAUCCAUCUCUACUCUUUCUUCACUAUGGCAACUUUAUCUCCACAACAACCAAUUCCAUGGCCAACUUAGUGAGUUUCUUGAUGAGGAUAUCUCCAAGCUUCAUUUUCUCAGUGAUCUCGAUCUCUCCAACAACUUGCUCAACGACAGUUUUCAACUCGAAAAGAUUCUAACCAUCAUUCCCUACCUCGAAAAUCUUGAUCUUUCUAACAACUUCUUGUCACUCAACACUUCAAGCUCAAACAAGUUCUCUAUGAACAAAUCCUUCUUGAAUUACUUGGACCUUUCGAGUAACAUGAUUGGUGAAGUUCCUAGUUGGAUUUGGGAAAUUGGAGAAUUGACAUUUUCCUAUUUGAACCUUUCUUGUAACAAGCUGGUGGAUCUGCAACAGCCUUACCAUAUUCCUAGCUUCUCUCUUGGUGUUCUUGACUUGCACUCGAACCAGCUUCGUGGCGAGCUGCCACUGCCACCACCGAAAGCUUUGUACGUGGAUUACUCGAAUAAUUAUUUCCACAAUUCCAGUCCCAACACCGGAAGCUUCUCCUCUGUUGAUCUUCAAUUCUUAUCCGUUGCAAAUAACAGCCUAACGGGGCCGUUUCCAACCUUCAUUUGCAAUAGUACAAGCCUUAAAUUUCUUGACUUGUCUUUCAAUAACUUGAGUGGUAGUUUACCUUCUUGCCUAUUUGAAAAUGAUAAGAAUCUUCAAGUGCUCAAGCUAGGGAGAAACAACAUCAAUGGUGGGAUCCCUGAUAAAUUUUCUCCCAAUUGCAGCCUAAGAACUUUAGAUAUGAGUCACAACAAUUUGGUUGGAGAUGUUCCACUUUCUUUAAAGAGUUGCUCUUCUUUAGCAUUCUUGAAUGUUGGAAGCAACCACAUAGAUGGUAACUUCCCAUGCCUGCUUCCAUCUUCGUUGCAAGUGCUCGUGUUGCGCUCCAACAGAUUACAUGGAGAAAUCGGAUGUCAGAAGAGUUGGCCAAAUCUUCAAAUCAUGGACAUAGCUUCCAACAAUUUCAGUGGCUCAUUACAUCCUUUGAACUUCACAAGUUGGAGAGGAAUGGUGUUGGAAGGCGAGACAAGGCCAGCGCGCUUCAAAUUAGGUACCGGUUUGACUAACUACACGAGUUACAACUACUGGGAUGAGGUGACAUUAACCAUCAAAGGAUUGGAGCUGAAGCUUGUCAAGAUUUGGCCAGAGUUUACAUCCAUUGAUUUCUCUUGCAAUAAUUUUCAUGGAGAUAUCCCUAAAGCCAUUGGUGAGCUCACUCACUUUAUCUUCUAAACCUAUCCCACAAUGCUCUGAGUGGUAAUCCCAAAGUCAUUUGGUGAGUUGAGGCAGCUCGGAUCACUCGAUCUCUCGAUGAAUCUGCUCACAGGUGAGAUACCAGAUGAGAUUGCAAGGCUCACAUUCCUUGUUGUGAUGAAUGUGUCUUACAACAAGCUGGUUGGGAAGAUUCCACUUGGCUCUCAAAUUCAAACGUUUUCAGCUGAUUCCUUUGAAGGGAACAUAGGAUUGUGUGGUCUCCCUCUCAGCAUUAGCUGCACAAACACACCACCACAGAGAAAUGUGGAAUCAGAUAGGGAGAUUGAGUGGGAUUAUGUGUUUGCUGCUGCUGGAUAUGCUGUGGGCAUAGGGAGCUUUUCUUGGGUGCUUUUAUUUUGGACAAGCUUUAGAGACAAAUAUUUUGAGAAAGUUGAGGAUGUUUUUGAGAAGAUAUUCGAGCGCCGCCAGAAUAGGAAGAGAAGACAUGGAGGAAGAAGGGCUGUGAGGAAUCAAGUUAGAAGACAGUAGUGGUGACAGAGUUAUUUAGUUUGGUUGCAGAGGAAAAUUAAUAAACAUGAAUGUGUUUUGCUUUAAUUCUAUGAUGUUGUAAGGCUCCUUAUUUGCAUCUUGUUUUGUUAUCUUUUGGUAUAUCCUUUCAUAUUUGUGUGUCUAGUCUACUUUUGAAAUAGUUACUCGGUCCAUGAUAAGUGUGAUGUGGAUUGGAUGAUACGAAUUUUAAGAAAAUAUUGACGGAUAUAUAUAAAGUGAGAAGGUGAAUCAUCAAACUUCCAUUAUGUAAUUAAUAAAUGGUUUGUAAGAUGAGUUUUUUGUAAAUAUUAUAUGUGAAGGGUUAUUAGCCUGUAAAUACACAAACUUCUUAUAUUUUCUGAAUUUAACAUGACUUCUAUUUUUACUGAAAUACACAAACUUAAUAUUUUUUUUCUAAAGUGGAGACAGGAAUAUAUGGCGUGGACUACGAAAUAUGCACUUAAAUAGAGUAGUUUGAUUCAUUAGUUUAAUUGGAGAGUGAAUAACAUGGUAUAUUGGCUUUCACGUUAAAUAGUAAAUCAGAGUUUUUUUUGUCGAUGUAAAAAAUCAGAAAAAAUGCUAAGUUCGUGUAUUUGUAAGCUAAAAAUAAAAACUAUGUUAAAUUUCAGAAAAUAUAAAAAGUUCGUGUAUUUACAUGUUAGUAUGAAUAAGAUAAAAAUAUAUAUUCUAAAAUAGAAAACUCACAUAUAUUAAAGCAAAAUGACAUUUGUAUCCCAUUUCUUCUUGCUGUGAGCAGAAAUCAAAUUACAGUCAGAUCUCCACUAUCUUAGCCGGCAAGAAAAAUUACACCAAAUUCAAUUCUGCAAAAGCCUCAAUCUUCAUCGCACAUUCAGAUCAAGAGAAAAUCCCCAAAAUUCAACCCUAAAAAGAGAAAAAAAAAAAAAAAAAUACAGAUCGCCUUCAAUUCGAUGGCGAACGUUCCGCCGGUGGUUUUCCGCUCCGGCGGAAGCUCCUCCGCCCCGCAGCAGCGCCGCCUCCCCACCGCCCCCUUCCAGCCCCCCGGAUCUUCCAACCCCGGCAUCCCCUUCCUCUCCUUCGACGUCAACUCCGCCGCGGCCUCCACCUCCUUCUCCGCCGCGCCGCACUUCCCCUCCUCCUCCGCCGCCUUCGACGACGAGCCGCCGCUCCUCGAGGAGCUCGGCAUCAACACCAAGCAGAUCUACCAGAAGACCAUCUCCAUCCUCAACCCCUUCCGCAUCAACCACCACCUCCACGAGGACGCCGAUCUGUCCGGCCCCUUCCUCUUCCUCAUGGCCUUCGGCCUCUUCCAGCUCCUCGCCGGGAAGCUCCACUUCGGGAUCAUCCUCGGCUGGGUCACCAUGGCCUCGGUGUUCCUCUACGUCGUCUUCAACAUGCUCGCCGGAAAAAACGGCAAUCUCGACAUGUUCAAGUGCCUCAGCCUGAUCGGCUACUGUAUGCUGCCGAUCGUGAUGCUGUCGGCGCUCUCGCUGUUCGUGCCGCAGGGCGGGACGGCGAUACUGGUCGUGACGGGGGUGUUCGUGGUCUGGGCGACGCGUGUCUGCACGGGAUUGGUCGUGGAGCUCGCGAGCUGCGGGGACGAGCACCGGGGACUCAUCACGUAUGCCUGCUUCUUGAUUUACGUGCUCUUUUCUAUGCUUGUGGUUUUUUGAUUGAUCAGCAUUUGGUUAGAUAGGUGUUGAAUUGGUUAGUAUUGAUGUUGGCUGUCUGUUUGUGUAGAUUUUGUUUAUUCUAUGAGUUUCUGGAUAUGGAUUCUUGAAUUUUUGAGGAUGAGGAAUGAGGAUAGCUUGCAAAUUGGAAGCUGAUAAUGGUCACUCUUUGAUGAUUGGAUGUCUCAACCUAUUAUGCAUUGCAAUUUGCAAUUGUUUCAAGUUUCCUUCAUUACUUUAGUUGAAGUUUGAUUAAUUUUGAGAGAUUAGUUGGAGUGAGUUGAUCAGGGUGGAAUGCAUGUACUCUGUUGUACAAAGAAGAAAAAGUGGAAUGGGAAAAGGAUCUUUUUCUUUUGAAGUUUCAUGCUUCUCUGUAUUUGUAGUAGGGUUAAUAGUGUUUUAUGUGUUAAACUUUCGUUUUCUCCUACACACUCCGAACUACACACUCCGAACUUUCAGCAUUUUUCAUAAAAUAUCCCGCUAUGCAAAAUUCGGUGAUGAAAAGAUGACUCUUUUCCAAAUUGAUUACAGUCAAGUUGUCAUUCCUGCACCACCAAGUUUAUAAUUCAAGCCUUCUCCGGCGAGAUAAGUCAUCUUUCUAUCACCGAAUUUUGUAUGUCGUGAGCUUUCUAAGGAGAAAACGGAAGUUCGGAACAUUUUAUGGAAAAUGCUGAAAGUUGAGGACGUAAAACACUAUUAAACCUUUGUAGUAUUACCAUGGAAAGUUAAUGCCUCUGGUAGCAUUUUUGAUGAGAGCUCGACUUAAUGAGACCCCUUAUUUAGAAACGAUGGCUUACUCUGCACCAAAUAUAUCAUAUAACCCUUUAAGGAGGCGUUUAUUUUUUAGGAUUAGUUUGGAUAGAUAAAAAUAGUAUAGACUAAUCCUUUGUUUGCUAAGAUUGUAAUUUUGGGAUAUCGCAAGGCCCUUGAUAAUUUUUAUCAUUUUCAGCUAAUUUUACUUGAUUCAUGUCCCAUUGAACAGGUGGGAUUGGAGAAAUCGUAGUAAUGAGGAUAAAGAUACUUAAUCGUGUAACUUAUCAAUCAUGAACAGUAAACGCCCUCUAAGUGUGUAAUAGGAGAUGGCAGUAUCUUCAUAUCAGGUAGUUUGAGUACCAUGUACUUGUUUAGAUUUAGCAACAUCUUUCUUUAUACUUCAAUGUAUUUUGAUUACCAUGUAGUUAAUAGACCCCUCAAGUUGUUUACCAUUGGCCUUUCCUGAGAGUGUUUCUGUGUGUAUAUUCUCUCCUUCUAAACUGCAAAAUUACAAGUCAUUACAGUGGAUCAGAAUCUAGUGAUUUUGAUCUUAUUAGAUUUCACUACAAAAUUCAGUGAUGACUUGAAUUCAGUUCUAUAAUCAGUAGUUCCUGGUUAAAAAUGAGUUUUUGCCUAUUGUUAAUACUAAUGUGGCCAUGUGUUCAGGUUAUUGUUGAUUAGAUUGCAAUUCCAUGUCUAUGGCUAUCUUUUUUCUGCAUUGCCUUCUGUUGGAUUUAUAUUGGGUGGGCCAAAAUGUUGAUAAUGAUUCUUGCACCUAUUUAUCUGUGUAUGUUAUUGAAGAAGCAGGUAUGAAUUUGCAUAGAUAGUUGAAUUUCAUUUUUUGAAGUUCCCAUCUUCUUUUCUGGUUGAGUGAGAUUUAAGUGACGAUGAAGCGCAGUCUGUUGAUAAGACGCUUCUCCUCCAACCAAUAGAUCGGGGGUUGAGUCACCUCGAGAGCUGGAGUGUGAGUGUGUUUUUCCUUUCUUUGGGUAAUAACAAUUAAAAAAAAAAGAUUUAAGUAUCCAUAGCUUCUAAAAGCAAUGCAGAUAAUAUUACUGUCUUCGAUUUAUUCUGAGAGGUUGGUGGUGAAUUCUUAUGCUACCUUUGAUACAUAAAAUGGUACAAGCAUUGAAGCAUAGAUUAAAUUACAUGNGUUUGUGUAGUAUUUUGUUUAUUCUAUGAGUUUCUGGAUAUAGAUUCUUGAAUUUUUGAGGAUGAGGAAUGAGGAUAGCUUGCAAAUUGUAAGCUAAUUAAUAGUCAUUCUCUUUGAUGAUUGGCUGUCUCAACCUGUUAUGAAUUGCAAUUGUUUCAAGUUUCCUUCAUUACUUUAGUUGAAGUUUGAUGAGUUUUGAGUGAUUAGUUGGAGUGAGUUGAUCAGGGUGGAAUGCAUAUACUCUGUUGCACAAAGAAGAAAAAGUGGAAUGGAAAAGUAUCUUUUUUCUUUUGAAGUUUCAUGCUUCUCUGUAUUCGUAGAAGGGGUAAUAGUGUUUUAUGUCCUGAACUUUUGUUUCUCGUAUAAUAUCAUGGUAUGCAAAAUUUGGUGACGAAAAAGAUGACACUUUUCCAAAUCAAGUUGUGAAUCCUGCACACCAAGUUGAUAAUUCAAGCCUUCUCUGGCGGGAUAAGUCAUCUUUCUGUCACCGAAUUUUGUAUGUCGUGAGCUUUCUAAGGAGAAAACGAAAGUUCAGGACAUUUUAUGGAAAAUGCUGAAAGUUCUAAACAUAAAACACUAUUAAUCCUUUGUAGUAUUACCAUGGAAGGUUAAUGUCUCUGGUAGCAUUUCUGAUGAGAGCUUGACUUAAUGAGACCCCUUAGAAAUGAUGGUUACUCUGCACAAAAUAUAUCAUAUAACCCUUUAAGGAGUCAUCUUUACUUCAAUCAGGUAUUUUGAUUACCAUGUAGUUGAUAGACCCCUCAAAUUGUUUCCUAUUGGCCUUUCCUGAGAGCGUUUCUGUGUGUAUAUUCUCUCCUUGUAAACUGCAAAAUUACAAGUCAUUACAGUGGAUCAGAAUCGAGUGAUUUUGAUGUUAUUAGAUUUCAGUUUCACUACAAAAUUCAGUGAUGACUUGAAUUCAGUAAAGUAAUCAGUAGUCCCUGGUUGAAAAAAAUGAGCUUUUGGUGUUCAAGCAAGGAACAAGUGUGGUUAGAGUUGGAGUAAGCAUCCAUAUCAAUCAUAUGCCGGCGUUCAUCACUACUUCAUACGAUGCCCCUGUCGUAGUCUAAGUUCUUUGUAACUUCCCAGUUCUCUAUAUGAAUGUGUGUAGGUUAUAUGCUGACUUGUUAUGCUAUUUCUUGUCCAUUCGAAGAAACGAAGGCGCCUUUCUCUUGGAUGUGUUGCCUAUUGUUAAUACUAAUGUGGCAUGUACAUAAGUUACUAUUGUUGAUUAGCUUGCAAUUCCAUGUCUAUGGUUGUUUUUUCUGCAUUCACUUCUGUUGGAUUUACAUUGGGUGGGCCAAAAUGUUGAUUAUGAUAACUUGCACCUAUUUAUCUGUGUGUGUAUAUUAUUGAAGAAGCUGGUAUGAAUUUACAUAGAUAGUUGAAUUUCAGUUUUUGAAGUUCCCAUCUUCUUUUCCUGGUUGAGUGGCAGAUUGAAGUUUUCAUAGCUUGUAAAAGCAAUGGAGAUGGUAUUACUGUCUACAAUUUAUUCGAGAGGCUUUGGUGGUGAAUUCGUAUGCUACCUCUGAGACAUACAAGCAUAGAUUAAAUUACACGAAAAAAAAAAUAUUGUUAAAAUAGAGGAAUGGAGAUUUUANAUCCAGAUCCGUGGAUCUGAAAAUUUUGGAUCCAGAUUUAGAUCCGUCAGAUCCGCGAGUCCACGGGUCCAGAUCCAUGGAUCCACUAUUUUUAAAUUAAAUUAAAAAAAUUUCACAAAAUCAACAAUAUCUAAUUUCCAUCAUGAAAAAUAUAACACAAAAUACUUUUAUCUAAUUACUUUUAGUUUUUAUUCUUUUGAAUAUAAUUUAUUUAUUAUUUUUAAUUUAAUUAAUAUUAUUAGUAAACUAAAUAUAAAAUAUAAAAUAUAUAUAUAUAAAAUAAAACGGAUCCACGGGUCGGAUCUGGGCCGGAUCCGGAUCUAAAAUUUCAAGAUCCAGAUCCGUUUUCAAAAUUGAGAUCCAGAUCUAGAUCCGUCGGGUCCAAAAAAUUGAGAUCCAGAUCCAUAAAAACGGAUCUGGACCGGGUCCAAGAUCCACUGCCAUCCCUACAUUUCAUAAUGAAGUGUAGUUCAAUUGAUAUUUUUUUUAAUAAAUCAAGUAAUUGAAUUAUCACAAAAAAUAAAUUAUUAUUAUUGAUUCUCUUUUAAAAAAGAAAAGAAAAGAGAAAGCUUUCAUUAAGUCAGGAGUUUGAAUUAUCACGAGAAAAAUAAAUUAUUAUUAUUGAUCAUUUUUAAAAUAGCAAAAAGAAGAAGAAAGGAUGUAUCUCUCCCCUAAUUUUUAUACAUUCACAUAUGAAUCAAUUUUCCUAUAAAUCUAAUUUCAAUUUUCUCAUCAAUUGAAGACAUCAAAUUCAAUUGACAAGCUAGAAAGUGCAACUCAAUUGAAAAAUUCUUUUAAUAAAUAAACUGAAAGUUCGAGUCAACACGACAGGGGAGAUUGAAAAUCAUUAUCGAUCAUCGUUUAAUAAAAAAAGAAUAAAAAAAAAUAAUACGACAAUUCAAUAGCAAAAAUAAAACAAAAAAGAAUAAUUAGAAUAGCGGUUGAGGUAGGUACAACUACGCCUUUCAGUUACCUACGUACAACACGCUAAAGCCACCAGUCAGUUUCUGUAUGCAGUCACACCCANAUAUAUCUACUUAAAAAUAUCAAAUUAUGGCAAAUCACCCGUCACAGUUAAUACAAAAUUUUCUCAUUCAAAAAUCAAAAUCAACAAUUACUCACAAUAAUUAAAUUUCCUUUUUUUUUAAAAAAAAAGAACAAUAAUUAAAUUUCCUGUUGACUUAUAAUACUAUUACCAUAAAAUAAUUCCAAUUACCAAAGAGGAUAAACACUUAAUUAUUUUGGUAUUAGGAAAUGUAUUACUCCCUCUGUCCGCCAAAAGUAUUCCACAAUUACUAUAUUUGGCGUCCGCAAAAAGUAUUCCACUUUCCUUUUUAAGUCAUGGUCCCACCAUCCACCUUUAUAUUUUAUCCUUACAAACACUCUUUAUUUACAAAAAACCCACCCCAAAUUCAAUCUCAACCACACAUCUCAUAAAGUGGUGGGACCCUUUCUCCAUUACAUCAACAUCAUCUCCAAUUUUAUUAAACUCUGUGCCCAACCAAAGUGGAAUACUUUUGGCAGACGGAGGGAGUAGUAUAUUUACAUUAAAUUAUACUAUAUACAUUAAUUAUUGAUACUAUAUUUAUAUAUGAAUGACACUUUUAAUAUAUCUAAAUAAUAUUAAUAAAUAAUAGUAUAUUUAUAUUUAAAUGAUACUUUUGUUGGGUUCCGAAAGGUCAGAAUAGGUGUAUGGGAAGGGGGAGAAUACACCUAUAGGCUAUUUUCAAAAACUGAUCGUCAAUACAAUCCAUCACUAAUAACUGAUACUGAAACGUUUGAAAGGAGGAUCAGUUAUGGAAGGAUUGAAGACUGAUAUCAGCAAAGUCUCAAACUUUGACUGAUGCGCUCAAGGAGCUUCAGUCUUGAAUUAAUCAGAGAGGUGUUAUGAAUCUUACUGACUAUCCGAAGAUUUAUUAGUUAGACUAAUAAUACAUGCAGCGGAAAACUUGUUGUUUUGAAAAAGCCUUAGAGCAUGUUUAUCAGUUAACGUUUCACUUUGCAGUUAAUCAGUUUUCAGUUUAAGAUCAGUUAAGCACAGAGAGAAAGUAAAACUGAAAGCAGUAAAUGACAAAACGAUUUUUACGUGGUUUGGAAAACACUUCCUACAUAUACGGUCAGUUGAUCAGACUGACAAACACUCUGGGCAUGUGCUUGCGGGUGCACAACAAACCUUGAACUGAAACUGCUCGCUUUAGUACCAACCAACACAGUUGGAUUUCUCAAACCACUUAGCGCGCACUAGGCAUUAAGAUUCUCCAGAGGCAGACCACUCGUCUGGACUCCAAACAAAUCAAACACUCUUUUACAACAGAUGAAAAGGAGGUUCGAAAUGCCAACUUGAUUACGAAGAACAAGCUCUUCAGUAAUCUGAACUUAGGCUUAAAAUAAAACAAAGUAUAUGCCUAAUGGUUCUAAGAUAAUGUGUAUAAUCAGCAGGCUGAUUUUGGACUUGGUUGAUUCUCUUCUUCGAUUCAAAGUUUGGAAUCGCUUGAUUAGGCUGAGCUACAAAUUUGGCAGAGUUUCAGUUUGAGCUUUUGAAUCGGUGAAGAUUAAAGUGUUCCUCGAGCGGUAUUUAUAGGAUAGGUCUUGAAUAGAUCCGUUGGCGGAAAUGGUCUUCAAGAAUUCGUCCGUUGGGAGAUUCAAAUCUCGGCUGAAUUUUCAAUUUUCGAGGUUCCUUAUUUUGGUGAGAAAGGACGAUCCUCAGGAUCUCUGCAUUUAAUGCGGCUGUACUUGCGGAUGCAAAGCUUCCUUUGUAAGCGUUGGAGGUUCAGUUCGAGGAAGAAUGUUGGCUGAUACUUAACGUUAGUAUCAAUCCGUAAUUUUCACGUAGCCAGCAUUUAAGGUAUCAGUUAAGACUGAUCCUUACUUAAGUUAAACUCCAGUAUUUGACUUCUGCCGUAGAUCGCAACUUCAGUUGAGUUCUUCAGUCUUCAGUCUUCAGAACAUUAUAAACUAGAGAACGAACUCAAACAGUCAAGUUCAAAAGAGUCUAGUCUAUUACACAAGGGUGAGGAUAUUCCACAAAGUUCCCAACAAUUUCUCCCUUUUUGAUGAUGUCGAAACCAUACCGCAGAUCUAUGACAAACAACGACUGAACAACUAAGGCAAGUUACUAAACAGGGUAAAUGCAAUUCCCCCUUAACAAGAAAUCCUAUUAACUUGCAAACAGCAGAAAAACCAAAACAGUUAAAGAACAUAAAAUGAAAACAUGACUGAAGUAAAUAAUCAGAGCAUGGAUAAAAAAGACAUUAUCUUCAGGUUAAGGUCAAAAGGAAUUGUAUUUUUAUUUCAUAAAACUGAUGAAAAAUCAAUUACAAUUAAGAACAUAAACAAAAAAAAAAUAUUGUUAAACAAAAAAAUAGAGAAUUAUUAUUGAUCGUCUCAAAAAAAAAAUUAUACCUUUGAGAUAGAUGGUCAUAACACAUGUCUAGUGAAAGCAUGCAUCUCUGAAUGAUAAUGAAACGUAGUUUAAUUAAUAAAACGAUUUUAUCAAAACAAGCUACAAAGUGCAUUUCAAUUGAUAAAUUAUUUUCUUUUGAUAAAUAAAUUGAAAGUUCGAGUCAAGACAAUUAGAUAGGGGGAGAUUGAAAAUCAUUAUCGAUCAUCCUUUAAUAGUUUAAUUAAAAAAGAAUAAUAAAAAAAAUAAUCGACAAUUCAAUAGCAAAAAUAAAACAAAAAGAAUAAUUAGAAUAGCGGUUGAGGUAGGUACAACUACGCCUUUCAGUUACCUACGUACAACACGCUAAAGCCACAGUCAGUUUCUGUAUGCAGUCACACCCACCAUGGCGCGAGCACUCCAAGCCCUAAUCCCCCACCCUCCGAUCACCGGAAUUCCAUCUUUCCGGCUUCUGCGCCAGCUUCCCUCGCCGGCGUUUUCCCCCAUUCCCGGCCGCAAGUCCAAUGUUGCGCCUUGUCUCCGGGAGCUCCAUUCAGUUUAUAGAAUACGCUGCAUUAAAGCAAGUGCCAAGUCCCUUGAGGUUACCUGCUUUCUCAAAAUUUCAUUUUUUUCCAUUAUCAGUCACUGCAAAAAUUCAAUGCUGUCUGUGUGUGUAUUGUAUUGGAGGAUUGUGCUUGUUCCGUUGACCUGAAAUUUAAUGUGUUGGUGUGUUUCAGGGAAAUGGAGAUGGAGAUGGAGAAGGAGAAAAGCCGCUCCCGGUGGUUGUAACUUCGAAUUGGACCAAAACAUUAGCUAAGAUUGCUUCCGAUAAUUUUCUGCCUCUAGGUAUGAUUGAUGUGGUUUUAAUUUUAAGUGUUAAUCCUUAAUAAUCUCGCCCAAUUUCAAUACAGUUUUUAUCAGUUUCAUGGAAAAUGUGUGAGCUAGGCAACAAUUUACUACGGUUUUCUAAUUGCAGCGUAAUAUGUUCGUGUAAUUGUGCUUGCAGCUCUUAUCUGUGGAGUACUGUUGGGACUUGCGAAUCCUGGUCCCGGUUGUCUUGCUGAUAAACUUUAUGUAUCGAAAAUUAGUACAUUUGGGAUAUUUGUAAUUUCAGGUCAGGUUUCUCGUAUAUUGAAUAACUUCUGGUAUUGUUAUUGAAUCUUUUGUGAUUAUAUUACCUUGCAGCUUUUAGAUAUCCACACUUUUCUGUAGUUUGUUUUAUGUUUCUUAGCUAUUUUCAUUUCUCAGGACUGACGUUGCGCAGUGAUGAAAUUGGUGCCGCUACUGAAGCAUGGCCAGUUGGACUGUUUGGACUAGUAUGAUCUUGCAUUCUUCUUUACAUUUUAUUUCUCCUCUUUAAUACAUCAUUUAGCUAUGCUGUUUUUAAAAAUCACACUUUGCUGUUCUGUCUUGAUAUCGUGCUCUUAGUGGAGUUAACUUAGAUAACAGCUUGAAGUCCUAGAUCUUUUCAAAUUCUGGAAGCCCUUUGUGAGAUUAUAAUUUUCUAUUAUUUUGUUACGAAUUUCCAUCUGUUGAAACAUUAGCGUUCUUACCUCUCAAGUUCCUCAGGAAAUAACUUAAUUUCUUCUAUUCAUUGCAAUGCAGGCUUCUAUUUUAUUUUUAACACCCUUAUUCUCAAAGAUCAUAUUGAUGCUAAAGCUCCAGCCACAGGAAUUUGUCACAGGUUUGAAAACUGUGCUCUUUGCCUUGGCAUUGUAUGACUCCAGUUGUUGCAUUUAUAACCAGAAAAUUAGGUGCUGGGUAAAGUUUCUACUUUGAGAAGCUUAUGAGUUCCAUAAGAGUAGCAUAAUUGUCAUACUAAAUAGAUAGAAUAGACUCUUUCAGUAUCCUGAUAAAUGUAAUGCAUAUUUGCUUUAAUCUUGGGAGAAAGAAUUGAGGGAAAAAAAGGAAACAUACAUAGCUCUAGAGUUACUGAGAAUCCAGUAAUCUCUCUGUUUUUGUUUGUAUCUAUCAUCGACUCGUUUCCAAUUCUGUUUAUCUGUCAGAUUCCCUGUUUCUGUUUGAUGUGCUUAGCCUUCUGAUUUCCACAGGACUUGCUAUAUUUUGCUGUAUGCCUACAACUUUGUCUAGUGGAGUGGCUUUGACACGGGUAACUGAAUGUUAUGAAUUCCCAGAAGAAUGUCUGCUAAUGAUUUCGCAGACCAGAAAGAAAUGUUGCUGUUAGCUUGACUGCAGGUUUGAUUUGAUAAAACACAGCUAGCUGGUGGGAACUCUGCUCUUGCACUUGCGAUGACCUUGAUAUCAAACUUAUUAGGAAUUCUAAUUGUAAGUUCUGGUCUUUUAUUCCUGGACUCUCUAUAGUCUAGAUGUUCACUAUUCUUGCUGCAACGGACUGAAAUGUGUGUUGCGUAUUGGCAUAACAGAUACCUUAUUCUAUCUCAAAAUUCAUAGCUGCUGGAGUUGGGGUAGCUAUUCCAACUGAACAGUUGUUAAGAAGCCUUGUUCUCGCGCUUUUAGUUCCUCUAAUCUUGGGAAAGGUGAAGCUUUACUGUCAAUCUAGUCAAUCUAUAUUUGCAUCCUAAUUCACCCCAUCUAUUUUUUCCAAUCUUAAUAAGAUAAGGAUAUAUACCUUAAAAUCUCUGUAAUGUUAGCAUUUAGCAAUGAGAAAAAUAAUUUGACUUUUCCCAGUCAUGAAAUCUUGCUAACAUUUUUUUCCAGUUACAAUUACUUUCUGCCUUUGAGAUUUGGAUUUCUGACCUCUUAUCUCUAUCACUCUCAAUCAACAGGUUGCUCGAGAACUCUCCAAAGGUGAGAGACCUCUAAACGUAUUUACACCCUCUUGGUGUUUUAAUAGGAUGGUUAAUGAAACUGAUAUUGUAUUUUAUCUGUGAAUACAGAUUCUUUAUUUUUCAUUGUUUUACCAAAAUUCUUGCAGGUAUAGCAGAUUUUGCAGAUGGAAAUCGUAAGCUUUUGGCAGUGAUCAGUGCAAUUUUCCUCAGUUCUGUAAGAUCCACAAUUUUAUUUGUUUUCAAACCGAAAUAAACUUGGCCACCACUUCUAUCUUUAGUGACAUGUGCAGAGUUUGUUAAGUUAAUCUGAGGAAAUUCCUUUUAUGGGGGAGUGAUGUUUGAAUUUUAGCAGUAUUUGACACAUACUUCUCUGCACUUAUGCAUGCAUAAUCUCAUUUUACAGAAUUUUGCAGAAUCAUGACUUAUACUCUUGACUUGAAGCUGUUUAUUAACUGUUAGACAUUAAAGAUCAUUACCGAUCAUAUUCUAGCUGUAAAUAUAAAUGAGUACAUGUCUCUUCCAUUCUUCUUUUCUGCAACAUUUGGCGUUGAUCGACUAAUUUAGAAAUGUGGUUAUUGGCCAAUAAAUUGUUCCCGAAAAGACUAAGAACUGCAUUCAAACCAUUCACUUUUCUACUUCUGUGAUCUUGGUCGUGAUUUUGCACCUCAUCUCUGCCCCUCAUGAAGGCCCCUUGGAUUCAAGUCAGCAGAUCAAGGUCACUUCUUUUGAUGGUGAAGCCUGAAAUUUUUCUCGUAGCUGUUGUCAUGGGAGUGUAUGUAUAUCUUAUUCUUUCUCUUAUAACUUUGUGUUGUCUCUGAAAGAGAAUAUAAGAAGGGUUGUGUCAAAUUGACAUAACAUUUGCUUGCAUGAGACAAAUUUUGAAACUCAGCAAAUAGUUUUGUGAAAUUACUGAGCCAUACAUGAUAUUCCACGCCUAAAAUUGUCUUCUAAUCUCUUUUGUUUUAUUCAUGGCCAUUUGAAGUAAUUGAAUUGAAUGAAAAAACUUGGAUUGCUGUUCUGUGAAUACCCUUUGCUCCAGUUGCUCUUUUUCUGCAAAUACUAAUAAUAUCACAGGGAGUUAUAGCAGCUGCACCAACUAAUCACCUUCCUAACAUGUUGCAGGCUUCUUCAUUUUGCCCUAUUUUCUUUUAAUGCUCUGUUAAUUCCGAGUCUUUCGCUUAUCACUGGAGGCAGUAAGUCGCCUUUCGCCAAGAAAGAAAAUACCAGUGCUCUUCUAUUAGUCGCCAGCCAGGUGAGAUGCGCUUUGCUUGUGUAGUUGAUGUUUUUAUUUAUUUAUCAUUAAUAAUUAAUGAUAAUUUGCACAUUGACAAGCAAAAGUUCUUCUUGACACAGCUAUAGGGAUUUACCUAAACAGUUAUGCUUUUUGCAGAAAACCUUGCCAGUAAUGGUAGCAGUUGUCGAGCAGCUUGGUGGUGCCUUAGGUGCAUCUGGCUUACUAGUCCUUCCAUGUGUGGCAGCUCACCUUAACCAGGUGAACAAAUUUGUCUACUCCUCUCUUAGUCUAGCCUUUGCUUGCUUCAGCUGAUAUGAAUCGCCGUAUUUGUAGAUUAUCAUCGACUCCUUUAUAGUGAGCCUCUGGAAGCAAAAGGAGGGCUCAUUUGAAAACGCCAAGAUAGCAUAGACUCGACACAGAACACCGUGGUCAUGAGAAGUAUGACCGAGCCAUGGAAACCAUGUCUUAAACACUGGGGCGAAGCUAAACGUACACCAGCCCGUUACCAGCGUCGUCUGCACAUCACUUUCCAGGUAGUGCUUCUCAUCCUCUGCAAAUUGAUCUGUAUGUAGAUGUUACUAUAAUUUCAUGACAGAAAAAUACUGGAAAUAUUUUUACUUGUGAGAGAAAUGAGGGAUAUUAUUUUCUAGGAAGGUUGUUACUUGAAAUGUGGAUCAUGAAGUUUCAGCUGUGAAAGAACUACUCUGUUGUAUUUUUUGAAUAGAAUCUUGAAUGAUGAAUCAAUGAUAUUUUACUAUCAGUGAUUAGGGGUGCUUACUUUACAUGAUAUUUUACUAUAAGUGAUUAGGGGCGUUUACUUUCCAUGAAGAACUACUCUGUUAUAUAUUUAUUACUCUCUUCGUCCACCAAUUCAUGUCCUACUUUUCUUUUUGGUCUGUCCACUAAUUCAUGUCCUACCCAUUUUUAGUAAUUAUUUAUACACUUUUUUAAUUGGUGCGUCCCAAUAACAAGUACAUUUUUUCUCCACUCAACUAAUAAAUAAUAUACUUUGUGGAUCUCUUUCUCCACUCAACUAAUAAACAAUACACUUUGUGAGUCCCUUUCUCCAUUUAACUAAUAAACAAUACAUUUUUUUCUUAAAACUCGUUUUCCUCCCCUAGGUCAUGAAUUAGUGGACGGAGGGAGUAUCUAAUAGUGAUAAGGGGUGUUUACUUUUGAUGAUUAGUAAUAUAUGCAUGAUCGAGUAUUUUUAUCCUCAAGAGUAAAUGGGAUAAGAAUCAAGUAAAAUUAACUUAAAUUAUAGAAAUAAUCAAGGGCAGUAAGAUUUCUCAAAGUUCCAAUCCAUCAAAGUAAACAAGGAAUAAACAAUAAUUUACUUUUUGAAUUAUCAUAAAUAUUUUUUUUAAGAAUAAACUAUAAUUUUAAUUUGAAUUAUCAUAAAUAAUUUUUUUUUUAUCUUUGAACUAUCGGUCUUAUAUCAAUUGUACCAUAUAGCUAUUUUUCGGCUCCAAAACAUUGACGUGGCUUGCCGAACUACCACGAUGUAUUAAAAUUUUUUAAUAUGCAUGCCAUGUCAUUAAGAAAUAUUUUUAAAAAAAAUCCCAAAUUUCCCCAACCCUCAUCCCUUCUCCCUCUUCCCUCUCGCCGGACGUCCUCGUCGCCUUCUCCUUCUCUGACGACGUACGCCACAGUACCGUCGUUUUCACCGAGGUAUUCAUUAAAGUAAGAAACAAAAAAUAUAUAACAACCGAAUUAAAAUGUACUAUAGACAAUUAUUAUGGAAUUUUUAUUUGUGAACUGACAAUUAAUAGGAAGGCGAAAGAUGUGCAUUCAAUUCAAUAUCUAAUUGGAGCUGAAAUCAAGUUGAAACAUAUACAUGAAGGAAGAUUUUGUAAAAAAACUUUGCUUUUUCGCGAUCUCAUUUAUGUAUGCUGACUGCAAAAGUUGUUUUACAAAAUUUGAUCUGCCUAUUAUAUCUCUAACAAAUUUUAAUUACAUCUAGUAUUCUUAUUAACACAUAUCUCUAAAUUUUUUUUUUUUUUUUUGAGGGAAUCUUCCCCUUCAUUUCUUGUCAAAAACAAAGGACUCUCUUCUAUUUCCUUUCAACAUUCCGAAAGGAAACAGGAAGGAAGCAAUUGAAUUUUUUAAUUAUUAUUAUUACAAAAUUUCCAAGAAAUUUCCAGCUAGGGAAAAUCAACAGAAAGAAGGGAUCGUAUGGAGUUGAGGUGUUUGCUUUGGUGCAUGCUUCCUAAAGAUAUCAGCUUUAAGGACUUGUACCAUACGUUUCGAAUGAUAGUACGUAAGUUACAACAAAUAAUCAAGUUUCGGCAUCUGCUGCAGCAUCGAAAUUACGUAGAAUUUUCAUCAAUUUUUUUUUUUCAUAUUUAAAUUAGCACUAGGGUGUGGUUGGUCAUUGGAUUUUAUUAGACAUGCAACAAGACAACAAUUUAUGUUCUUCUCGAAACUCAAUAUGAUAUUAUUCACAAUGUAAUGAAAGAUAUUGUAUGCUAAUUAUAGUUGUAGCAAAGCAUGAAGACACCAAUAUUAGAAAAAAAGCGAUAGUAAAGAUCAAAAUAAUGGUCGUUAAAAAUGAUAAUUAUGUCUAGGGGUGUAAUUAAUCGAAUCGAGCCGAACCGAAUAGUGGUGUGCUUAAGUUUGAUUUGUUUAGUAUCGAAUCGAAUCCCGAACUUUACUUACCAAAUACUUUGAGGCUCACGAGCCUAUACGAACUUUCUAAAUUUAUAUUUUAUUUAAAAUAAUAAAUAUAUUAAUUAUUUUCUUAUGAUGCUCUGUUAAUUCCGAGUCUUUCGCUUAUCACUGGAGGCAGUAAGUCGCCUUUCGCCAAGAAAGAAAAUACCAGUGCUCUUCUAUUAGUCGCCAGCCAGGUGAGAUGCGCUUUGCCCACGUUUGGUUGAAUGUUUUUAGAGGUUGGAAAGGGAAUCAAGUAAUUGAAUCCAUUACUUGUUGUUUGGUUUUUAUCCUUAAGAUUAAGAUUUCUCCGAUCCCACUCUUUUAAUGAGAUAAGAAUCAAGUAAAAUAGCUUAAAUGAUAAAAAUAAUUAAGGGUCUUGGAAUAUUCAAAAGUUUCAAUUCAUUAAAGUAAACAAGAGAUGAGUAUUAUUUUAAUCUAUCAAAAUUAAUCUUUCAAAGUAAACAUCCUUACAUAAGUGUGUACUCGUACAAAUUUUGAUAUACAUAUAAUAUAAGAUCCUUACUUAUUUUAUUUGUAAGGACUAAGGAUAAUUUGGUAAUUUUAUGUACGCAUAGGUUUGUUUUAUCAUGAUAUAACAUAUAAAGGCAAUUGAAUCCUUCAUAUCUAAAAUGGUAAAUAUCAUUUUUAACAUCGAUCUAUUUUUACACUCAAAUUUUGUUUUGAAUUAUUGAAUAUAUAUAUAUAUAUAUAUAUAUAUAUAUAUAUAGUANNNNNNNNNNNNNNNNNNNNNNNNNNNNNNNNNNNNNNNNNNNNNNNNNNNNNNNNNNNNNNNNNNNNNNNNNNNNNNNNNNNNNNNNNNNNNNNNNNNNNNNNNNNNNNNNNNNNNNNNNNNNNNNNNNNNNNNNNNNNNNNNNNNNNNNNNNNNNNNNNNNNNNNNNNNNNNNNNNNNNNNNNNNNNNNNNNNNNNNNNNNNNNNNNNNNNNNNNNNNNNNNNNNNNNNNNNNNNNNNNNNNNNNNNNNNNNNNNNNNNNNNNNNNNNNNNNNNNNNNNNNNNNNNNNNNNNNNNNNNNNNNNNNNNNNNNNNNNNNNNNNNNNNNNNNNNNNNNNNNNNNNNNNNNNNNNNNNNNNNNNNNNNNNNNNNNNNNNNNNNNNNNNNNNNNNNNNNNNNNNNNNNNNNNNNNNNNNNNNNNNNNNNNNNNNNNNNNNNNNNNNNNNNNNNNNNNNNNNNNNNNNNNNNNNNNNNNNNNNNNNNNNNNNNNNNAUAUAUAUAUAUAUAUAUAUAUAUAUAUAUAUAUAACUUCGAACUAUCGAUCUUGUAUCAAUUGUACCAUGUAGUUAUUAUUCGACUCCAGAACAUUGACGUGGCUUGCCGAACUACCACGAUGUGCUAAAAUAAUUUAAAUUAGUUUUGAUGUGCCCCAACCCUCAGAGCAUCCACAACGCCCUACUCGAUCUCCCCUACUCGAGUAAGGGCGAGAUCGAGUAGGGCGAUGCACCCCCCCCCCCCCCCCUCACCCCCACUCACUCGAGUGCUACCCGAUAGAACGGGUAAGCACGAUACGCCUUAAAAUUAAAAAAAAAAUAGAAAUUUUAGGAAUUGUUUUUAUUUAAUUAAGGGAUUUAAAAAUUAAUGCAAUUUAAAUUUGAAUUAAAUUGUGUUAUUCAAAUUCGAGGAAUUAAAUUUAAAUGAAAAGCAUAAAAAUUAAAACUAAAAAAAUCAAGUAACCCCACUAUGGAUGCUUUCAUCCCCUUCUCUCUCUCUCUCUCUUCUAACUCUCUUCCCUCUCGUCGGACGUCCUCGUCCCUUCUCCUUCUCCGACAACGUAUGCCACAGUACUCUUGUUUUCUCGUCAAAGUCAAAAAAAAAAAAAAAAACCAAAAAAUCGACAAUAACCAAACACACUUAUUUUAAUUAUUAUGAAAUUUUUAUUUGUGAACUGCCAAUUAAUAUGAAGGCGAAAGAUGCAUUCAAUAAUUGGAUCCCCAUACUCGCAUUGUCAAAGUAUAUUCACCUUCUUUUCUUGUCAAAAGCAAAAGGACUCUCCUCUAUUUCGUUUCAAUCCGAAAGGAAACGGAAGGCAGCAAAUUGAUUGAAAAAUACAAACAAGUUUUUUUUAUUAUUAUUAUUAUUAUUAUUAUUAUUAUUAUUAUUAUUAUUAAAAAGAAAGGACUCUCCUCUAUUUCCUUUCAAUCCAAAAGGAAGGCAGGGAAUGGGAAAAUACGCACAAGUUUCAUAAUUUAUUAUUAUUAUUAUUAUUAUUAUUAUUAUUAUUAUUACAAAAUUUCCAAGAAAUUUCCAGCUAGGGAAAAAAUCAACAGUGAGAAAGGAUCGUCUGGACUUGAUGUUUUGGUGCAUGCUUUGCUUCCUACAAGUCUCAGCUUUAAGGACUUGUACCAUACGUUUCGAAUGAUAGUACGUAAAUGUAGCGUACUAGUUACACCAAAUAAUCAAGUUUCGGCAUCGAAAUUACGUAGAAUUUUCAUCAAGUUUUUAUUUAUUUUUUCAUAUUUAAAUUACCACUAGGGUGUGGUUGGUCAUUGGAUCUUAUUAGAGAUGCAACAAGAUACAAUUAAUUUAUGUUCUUCUCGAAACUCAGUAUGAUAUUAUUCGCAAUGUAAUGGAAGAUAUUGGAUGCUAAUUAUAGUUGUAGCAAAACAUGAAGACACCCCUACUAGAAAAAGCCAUCGUAAAGAUCGAAAUAAUGGUAGUUAAAAAUGAUAAUUAUAUAUGUCGUUAAAUAUACUAACAAUCGAAUUAACCAAAAUUAAGCGUCACGAAUUUGAUGGCCGUUCCUGUAACUAAUGAUCGAAUAGCGAUCGAUAUUAAUCAAAUCAAAUAUACUAAAAUUUACUACAUUUUAUUUGAAAAUAAAUACUUUCGAGGAAUAUAAUCAGUAAUAGUUUCUUGUCGUUGGUCUGAAAAUCAGAAUAAUAAAGAGUGUGUGAUAGAUAAAGAAAAGGUCUUGUAUUUAUUAUCCAAAUAUAUGUAAUAUGCAUAAAUAUACACGGGUUAAAUGUUUUGGGGUGACUUUCAUUUUGCACGUACACUUUCAAUUUUCUCAUAAAAUAUAGUAUGAACUUUACAUGUUUUUUUCAAUUUGUCCAAUUUGAAGUCGAAGAUUUUUCUUUAAAAAAAAAUUAAAAUUCAAACCGUAUUUAAUAUCGUGAUUCGUGAAUGCCAGUGGCAGCACGCAUGGUCAAUCCAUUCGGUAUAAUAAUAAGAAUCUUCUGUAAUAAAAUAAAAAAAUCAUCCGUGUGGCAUAUAUAUCAGUUCGAAUUUAGUCGAAAAUUGCAAAUUUUGAAUAAAAGAAAAUACUUACUCCCUCUGUCCAUGAAAUAGCUUUCUAUAAAGUGAAUUUUAAGAAAAAAAAUUGUUGAGUGUAUUAAGAAUGGAGAAAAAAGGUAUUGAGUGUAUUAAAAGUGGUGAAAAUGUGUUGUAGUUAGUAUUGAUCAACGGUGAAAAUGUGAAAAGGUAAAAGUAAAUGAAGUAAAAUACUACUUAUUUUGCAUGAUUGAUAAAAUGGAUGAUUGAGUAUUUUUAUUCUUAAGAAUAGGAUUAAAUGAUAUAUAAGAUAAAAAUCAACAGUCUUACGAUAUCCCGAAGUUUUAAUUCAACAAAGUAAAUAAAGGAUUAACUUACUAUUUUUAUCUAUCAAGGCUAAUCCUUCAAAGUAAACAACACCCUUUUAAGUGGUGGCGUAUACUGUAUAGUCUAAAAAUAAAUACUCCCUCCGUCCGCCAAAAGUGGACCACUUUGGCUGGACACGAGAUUUAAUAAAAUUGGUGAUGAUUUUGAUGUAGUUGAGAAAUGGUCCCACCACUUUAUGAAAUGUGUGGUUGAGAUUGAAUUUUGGGUGAUUUUUUUGUAAAUAAAGAGUGUUUGUAAGGAUAAAAGAUUAAAGUGGAUGGUGGGACCAUUUCUAUAAAAGGAAAGUGGUACACUCUUUGCGGAUGCCCGAUAUAAUAAAAGUGGUCCACUUUUGACGGACGGAGGUAGUAGAUUUUUUUUUUAUAAACGGAAAUGAAGUCGCCAAAACACUUCAUAUACCCUAACCUUAACUAAUGUAUUAGUUUCACCAUUGUUCCUACACACCACCACAAACGCGUAUUAGAACGCGUAGAAAGAAUCCAAAAUCGAUCGACGGCAUAAACCUAUAUAUAUGUAUUGAUGCCUUCUCCUUCUUCCAAAAAAUACAAUACCCUUCCCAAAAAAAAAAAAAAAUUGAUGCCUUCUCCUUCUUCCAUUAUGUUUCUGCACAUCUCUCUUUACAAUUCCGCGCCUUUGAAGCUGCUGAUUUUCUCUCUCAUCCUCUCCGCCUCUCUCACCAAAACCAACUCCAUCGCGUUAAGCUGCCAUGCGAAGUGCGUCGACUCCAACAUCUCCUAUUCGCUGGGGAUGUUCGCGCUCGCGCCGCUCUUCGCCGGCACUUGGAUCGUGUGGUUGCAGCACAAGAGUAAGCUCGAGCGCCACCGAUUGAGCUUGUUCGACAGAAAUGGCGGAAACCUAUUGAAGAAGAAGCUAUCCAAUCGCAGGAGAUCGAGAUCGAGCACCUCAAAAUAUACACAGCUCAGGAAAUGGAGAUCGCCACCGACAAUUUCAGCGGCACCAGAUCGGUAAUGCAGAGGUGCAAGCCGGGGAAAUUCUACCGCGGAACCUUCGAGAACAAUCGAGAGGCCGUUGUGAUGAAGAUUCCGUCGCCGGUGCCGCAGUCGAGAAUCGAGCAGUUCGUGGACGAGGUGAUCUUCCUCUCCGGGGCCCACGGGAGUCUGGUUAGGGUUUUGGGCUGCUGUUUGGAGACGAGCUCUCCCUUGGUGGUUUACGAGCUCCACGGCGACGGAAACCGCACGCUCGCCGACUUCGGCACGCGCCGCGGCGGCGCGUGCGUGCUCCGGGCGGCCGCGGCGGCGGUGAGGGGGCUUGCCGACCUGCGGUCGCGGAAUGCGAGGGCGGCGGGGUUCCUCCACGGCAACUUCUGCGGCGGCAACGUUUUGUUGGAUGAUUCUUUCGAUGCGAAGCUGUUCUACGCCGCCGCCUCCGGCAGCAACCUCGUCGUUGAUCAUCGAGAUCGCGGUGGUUUCGAUGACAAGGACGUGUGUAGCUUUGGGGCGGUGCUGGAUGAGCUGAUGCCGACGUGUCAGAGUGACGGGGAUCUCGACACGCAGCUGCUGUCGGAGGAUUUGGCGGCGGCGGAAGUAGUUUAUGUGACGGAGGUUGCCGCCAUGGCGGCAAGAUGCAAGAGUGUACGGCCGGAGGAAAGGCCUACCUUGACUGAACUGGAAACUACGCUAAGUAGAUCGAUUAAUUGCUUGCAAAAAUAAGCUAAUUUUUUUCGAGCUUGCAGAAUUGGAUCAAUUAUUUUAAAUUUCGAAAAUUUAAAAUAAUUGAUCAAAUUUUGUAAAUUCAAAAGAAUAGAGUUAUUUUUACAAAUUAUCCUAAGAUAGUGGUCUAAUUUUUAUUUUUUUUUAAUUUCGACAUUACGUGUAGAGGAAAUUGAGCUAGUGAGUGGUUUUUUCGGAUGAAAUCCUCUGUCCCAACUCUGUAUACCUACAUUGGAAUUCAUUGUUUGUUGUUAUAAAGAUGUAUAUAUACAAUCUUUCUAAAUUGAUGAAAACUUCUCUUAGCAAAUUUGUGUACAGCUUGAUUUAGAUUCACUAAGAUCCCAAUGGUAGGUAAUGUUCCUUUAUUUUAUGAAAGUCUUUAAUUUUUGAAGUAAAUAAGAUAUUAGGUUGUUAUAAUCAUCUUACACUUAUCAAUUAUCAUGUCUAGCUAAGCCCUUGUAUAUCUAAGUAAAUUUGAUUAAUCUAAGUAAAAAUAUUAUGCUUUUUUAGAAUAAAUAAUAUUUAAAAAAAUAAUUAAUAUUUAAAUCUAAAAGGUUCUCUUAGACUAAAGUAAGUUUCAAAUAAAUUCGUGUGCUUUGAAGAUUCAAUAAAUAAAAAAUUCUAAAUAAAAAUUCGUGUGCCCUCAAAAAAAAAAGAUUCAAUAAAUAAAAAAUUCAAGCUCAAUUCUUUUUUUUAGGCAAAAUUGAUUACUAGUAAAUAAGUCUAGAUUUUUAGCCUAGAUAUGUUUCCUCUCUCUGACUAUUUGGGGAAGAUAAGAUUGUUGGGCUUGACUUGGGCCCUCAUUAGUUUGGGGAAGAUAAGAUUGUUGGGCUUGACUUGGGCCCCUCAUUAGUUUGAGCCCAUUCAUUAUUAACAAAAAAAGAAAUAGGAGAUAGCUCAGACAUAAAAACAAAAGAUCAAAAGGGUUGCUGAUUAUUUUCAGUGGGGUGAUUUUAAACAUUGUGCUAUUAUAUAUACUUAUAUACUAUAAAAGUUCAUGUUUUAAAUUUUGAUAAAUAAUUAAACCCUAUCAUUUGUCUCCUACUAUUGUAUAUUAGUUUCUCUAUUGAAUUAAUAUUUAUUUUAAAAAUAAAAUGUUAGUACUUAUUUACUACUCCUACAAAAAAGUUUUUUUAAAAAUAUAUAUGCUGAUUUCGAAAUAUUCAACCCAAAUAAUCAUGCUUUAACUUAAAAACUUGCAAAUUAAAUGUAAAAAACUAAUUAAAAGCCAUAAUUUAAUUAGUGAAUCCUAGUUAAUAGUAGUAAUAAUUAUAAAAUGAAACUAAAUCACACUAUAUAUGUUGAAAUUGACAAAACUUUAAAAAAACAAUUACAAAAAUUGAUAGUGGGACACACUCCCUCAUCCUCUACAAGAUUUUAUCUGUAUAUAGGAAAGAUUGGAGGGGUGUAUAUGGCAUAGAGAUCUAGAGAGAGAGAGUAUUAACUAAGACAUUUUCAUCCCAUAAAACACAACAUAUAGUAAUAAUUUGGAGUUGCAGCUUAAAAAAGUGAUGAAGAAAAUCAAGCAGCAUACUUACCAUACAUCAAACUUGAGCUAUGGACUGUAUAUCUUUGCUAGCUUCCAAGAAACUUUCCAUCUAUGAGAAAUGUGAGCUCAGAAAAAGGAUUCUUAAUUUGAAGCUUUGAGGUGUGGAAGCUUUGAAGCAUGAGAGUUGUUUAUACAAAAGAUGUUUUAGAAACUGCAGCAGCAUUAAUGUAAGCUUAAAUAUACCCUUUAAAAAAAGACUUCAUCAUUUUCCAAGUCAACUAUAAUGAGACAAAGACCUUAAGAGAAGACUAAGAAGCCUUUGAACAAGUCAGAUUCAUCUAGAUCUGUUCAUACCUGAAAUUUUAUUUACAUUUUUUUAUUUAUGUUCAAUCUAAAAAGAAAUACUCCAUCCGUCCCAAUUCAAUACGCCAAAUUUCCUUAUUUAGAUGUAACAAUUCCAAUUGUAUAUAUAUCACCAGUUGAAGUAUAGGAUUUUUUUUUCCACUUUAUUUUUUUAUUUUUUUCUUGUUAGCUAAAUUCCAAGGUAAUUUACUACGAAAAUGCAAUUUUGCAAGGCAAUUUUAUCAAGAAACAAUGUAGUCAAAUGACCAUAAUGAAGAUUGAAAAUCAAUUUUUGGCCCAUAAUCUUAAAACAUCAAAAUAUGGUCAUUAGUUAGGUGGUAUGCCUAAUUUGCCCUUUUUACUCGGCCGCUGGGGUGAUUGCGCGGCCGCUGGAAGCUUAUGGGUGAGUUGCACGCUCGCGGAGAAAAGCCAGCGCUCGCUGCGCGUAUGGCACUAAUAGUGCUAUAAAUUAGUGCCAUAAGUGUCAUACACAUAAAUUAGUGCCAUAAGUGCCAAAAGAACCAUUUUAAACACUUUUCCGUAGGAUUUAGAUGUUCCAUUUAGGGUUUAGAUGUUCGAUUUAGGGUUUAGAUUAUCCAUUUAGGGUUUAGAUGAUCCAUUUAUGAUUUUUUUAAUUCUAUUAGUGUUGUUUGUGUUGCACGUAUGACAAUUAUGACACUAUUAGUGCCAUAGGUGCCAAAAUGACCAUUUUACUUGGUUUUAAUUUGGAUUUCCGUUGUCACUUAUGGCACUAUUAACCCGACCCGGCACGCGACCCGCGUGCCUGAUCCUACCCGGUCCGCCUCAUUAAGGGUAAAAACGUCCAAAUCAGUAAAAAUGAUCACAUUUUAUGUUUUUUCAAUGUGUGGCCAUAAAUUGUGUUUUAUGCUUUAUUUUGGCUACUUCAAAAUUUUACUUUUUUAUCAAUAUAUUACAAUAAUGCAAAGAGGUUAAACAAACCUUUAAAAAUAAAUAUUUUCUCAUAAAUAAGUUUUAUUGUCUGAGACUUGGCUGUAUCAUUCAGCUAAUUAAGUUAUGCUUGCUUUUGAGCUCUAGAAAUUUUUGAAGAGAUUUUUUACUGAAAUCUUUUAGGGUAAAUAUCAUUUAAAACCUCAAACUAUUUUCGCACUGUCAAGUAUAUCCUGAACUAACGAAAAUGAUUUUUUAAACCUUGAACUAUCAAUUUUGUAAUAAUUGUACCAUUCAUCCAUUUUUUUAGCUUCAAAAAUUUAGAAAUUUAUCUUCAUUCAAAAAUUUGAUGCAUCAUGAUUCAACAUCACUAGAAACUGUUGCAGUGUAUUUGGCUUUGAAGGAAGAUAAAGUUUUGAAGAGAUUUUUACUUAAAAUCUUUUAUAUUAGAUAAAGGGAAAAUAACGCCAAAAUUCACGAACUUUUACCCGAUUCUCGUUUUUCCCACGACUUUUAAAAGUUAGACAAAUAUACGCAACCUUUUGAUAGAGUCUGAUUUUUUCCACGAUGAAUUUUUCCAACAAUUGUAUCUUUCUCUGAUUUAUCUUCUUCGAAAGAAGCAUUCAUCAUGUUGCUUUUUAUCCACCAACCCUCUGGUUCUUAGAUGCUCCAAAGCAAUAUUGUCCCUUUCAAGCUUCAACUUCUGAAAACAGAGCUUGUAAUACGACGUAAGCUCCGGAUCGACCCAUUUGCAUAAUUUAUGAAUUGCAACCAAUUUUUACCUUUUUUUUUUAACACAAAAACGGCAAUGUUUUUAACAGCUGAAAAGGACGUCUUUUGAUUCGCCGAACGACGUUGCCAUGUUGGCAAUUCUGAGUGCCACCUAAGCUUUAAAUUGGGCAAAAUUAAUAAUCGUGGAAAAAAUCAGAAUCAAUCAAAAGGUUGUGUAUUUUUAUCUAACUUUUAAAAGUCAUGGUAAAUACGAGAAUCGGUAAAAGUUCGUGAAUUUUGACGCUAUUUGCCCUUAGAUAAACAAUUGAUAAGAUUACAAAUGAUUUUCUCCCUACAUACAUACAUAGUUGAAUCACAUUGAAAUCAAACGCACUCUCAUCACAUCAUCCCUAUGCUUAUAAGCAAGUAUAGCAAAAACAGUUUGUGUUAAGGUGAGCAGCAGCAGCACUGCAGCAGCAACGAACUUGAUCACGGACCACGGACUAUUGAAGUAGUUUCGCCUCAAUUUCGCCAUCCAUUUAUUGUGCCGGCGGCCACAAUGCUUGUUCAAGCUCACAAAGACAUCAGNNNNNNNNNNNNNNNNNNNNNNNNNNNNNNNNNNNNNNNNNNNNNNNNNNNNNNNNNNNNNNNNNNNNNNNNNNNNNNNNNNNNNNNNNNNNNNNNNNNNNNNNNNNNNNNNNNNNNNNNNNNNNNNNNNNNNNNNNNNNNNNNNNNNNNNNNNNNNNNNNNNNNNNNNNNNNNNNNNNNNNNNNNNNNNNNNNNNNNNNNNNNNNNNNNNNNNNNNNNNNNNNNNNNNNNNNNNNNNNNNNNNNNNNNNNNNNNNNNNNNNNNNNNNNNNNNNNNNNNNNNNNNNNNNNNNNNNNNNNNNNNNNNNNNNNNNNNNNNNNNNNNNNNNNNNNNNNNNNNNNNNNNNNNNNNNNNNNNNNNNNNNNNNNNNNNNNNNNNNNNNNNNNNNNNNNNNNNNNNNNNNNNNNNNNNNNNNNNNNNNNNNNNNNNNNNNNNNNNNNNNNNNNNNNNNNNNNNNNNNNNNNNNNNNNNNNNNNNNNNNNNNNNNNNNNNNNNNNNNNNNNNNNNNNNNNNNNNNNNNNNNNNNNNNNNNNNNNNNNNNNNNNNNNNNNNNNNNNNNNNNNNNNNNNNNNNNNNNNNNNNNNNNNNNNNNNNNNNNNNNNNNNNNNNNNNNNNNNNNNNNNNNNNNNNNNNNNNNNNNNNNNNNNNNNNNNNNNNNNNNNNNNNNNNNNNNNNNNNNNNNNNNNNNNNNNNNNNNNNNNNNNNNNNNNNNNNNNNNNNNNNNNNNNNNNNNNNNNNNNNNNNNNNNNNNNNNNNNNNNNNNNNNNNNNNNNNNNNNNNNNNNNNNNNNNNNNNNNNNNNNNNNNNNNNNNNNNNNNNNNNNNNNNNNNNNNNNNNNNNNNNNNNNNNNNNNNNNNNNNNNNNNNNNNNNNNNNNNNNNNNNNNNNNNNNNNNNNNNNNNNNNNNNNNNNNNNNNNNNNNNNNNNNNNNNNNNNNNNNNNNNNNNNNNNNNNNNNNNNNNNNNNNNNNNCCCCCAAGCAUUGAUCAUGGGCCAGAAUCGGAAUCGGAAUCGCUCUGAAUAGUCUGAUUAAGGGCCUGGAUUUUUUAAACCUUGAAUCGACGAUUAACCGUCGGAUCGAACCGUUGAUUUAAGUUAAUAGUCUAACCAUCGGUUAAUCGCUAAUUUAUAAUAUUUCAAUUUAUGAUUUUAAGGGUUAAUUUUCCUAUAAAUACACAAGUUAUACCCGAAUUUUGGUUCAUACCAUAUCUAUUUUUUGGUCAAAAAAUACAUAAACUUUUAAUAUUUUGAAUUUGACGUAACUUUAGAAGUUCGUUGGCCAAUAACUUAAUUGUCUGAAUUUUGAUGGACAAUCCUAAGCAACUGUUGUAAAACUCUUGAUGUUAUCUUUCUAAUGAUGGGUUUUAGUCAGCGGAAGUGAUCGGAAAAAAGAUAAAAUAUAGAGUUUCAUGAUCUCAACUUUCAUGCCAUUUUUAUUUACCAUUUCUGGUGACCAAAACCCAAUAAUGCAAGUACCAUAGAAAAAUAACGUCAAGAUCUUUCCAACGGUAUCUUCGGAUUGUCCAUCGUAAUUAAGACAAUCAAGUUAUUAGACGACAAACUUUAGGCUCAAAUUCCAAAAUUAUAAAAAUUUAUUUAUUUUUUGACCAAAAAACUAAAAUUUGUCAAAACCCAAAAUUUAGAUAUAGGUCGUGUAUUUAUAGCCUUAUAGACCCGGAAUCUUCUCCAUACUAGAGGGGCCCAUGUACUGUGAACAACCGGUUCAAGCUCGAAACCGACGGUUCUCGGCCUAUGGACAAUCCUACUUGCAAUUAUGAAGAGGAUAUAUUUAUUAGAGGUGAGCCGAAUCGGAUAACAACGAUCGGUUCGGUCAGGUUGGAUCGUUUUUGACAUUGAAAUUUGGAAUAGGUCGGUUUUUAUCAGUUUGGUUUCGAUUCUGGGUGGCACAGCCGGCGAAAACGGGCAUUUUUGGAGACUGCCAGAUUCGGUCUGUUUUUAUAAUCUUGUCGGUCCGGGUCGGUUGUAGCUUCACUCUCUUCUCGGUUUUCGAUCUCAGCGGUUCGGUCCGAUUCGGUUCGGUCCGGACCGAAUGCACAUUCACUAUGAAAUUUCGCAUGAACUUUCUUAAGCAAGAAGUCUUUCACAGUGAAGUUCCUGGAAAUUUACCUAAUUAAAAUACAAUAAUUUCUGUUUGGUUGCACCGAACACUCAUUUUGUCAAUACAAUAAUGAAAAAAGUUCUUUAAAAAGAAAAUAACGCGAAGAAAUCAGCUGCAGCAACCAACAACUUAAUGAACAACUUUUGUCGUGUUUCAGCCACUCAAAUUCCCUGGUGAUAAUCUAGUAAGUAUGCUCUACAUUAAUUUGUUUAUCUUGUAAGUUUCAAUAACAAAAUAAACCUAUGUAGAUUGCUACAUGUUUAAUAUUUUUAUGGUGUUUUCUUCUUUUGUAGCAUAUAUAUUUUCUGGUUUCUUGGCUUAAUUCUUGAAGAUGACAGAGGAGAGAGACUGUGUUGUUGUUAGGAUUGAAAACUUGCUUCAUCAUUUGUCUACUUCUCUCACUCCCUCAAAGCCUAUCAUAGCUAAAGUAGAUCAACACCUGAGGCAAGUAAAUGAAAAGGAUUUUGAACCCGAAUUAGUCUCUAUAGGUCCAAUCCAUCGUGGGAAAGAUCGCGUUAAGGCCAUGGAGCAACACAAAGUGAGGUAUCUAAGCAAAUUGUUGGGAAGAAGAGAUGAGUUGAGCAUUGAGAAAUGUGUGUUGGAAGUGAGAAGCAUGGAGGAAAAGGCUCGCCUUUACUACGCGAAAUCAAUCAGUCUUGAUCAAGAUGAGUUCGUGGAGAUGUUGCUUCUUGAUGGAUGCUUUGUGAUUGAGCUGCUAAGAAGCUAUUGGUUUAGUGAUUUGAGAGACAAGAAUGAUCAAAUAUUUCAAUUUGAUCACAUGUUAGUCCAAAUAAGGCAUGAUCUUCUGUUGUUGGAGAACCAGCUCCCUUUCUUCGUGUUGAACGAGUUUUUCGACAUGACAAGGAUGGAACAUCCAGACGAUGACAUACACCAUCUCCUCCUCUUUCUAGCCGGAGACAUGUUCCCAUGGCCGGAUUCCUCAAUGCUCAACUCGAGUUCAGAUAUGUUACACAAUGCUGAGCAUCUAUUAGGCCUACUUUAUCAUUCUUCAUUCUCAUUCUCAUUCUCAUUCACUGAAAACAACGGUAGCAACACGUGCCUCGUGGAGCCAUGAAACUCCCACCAUUAUGCAUAUCUGAUAAAUUCUUCAUUCAUGCAUUACUAAUUUCAUAAUUUAUCUUUUAUUAUUAUUAUUAUUAUUAUUGACAAAACUGAAACAAAUAAAGUUUUUAGAUAUGAAAAAUAUAUUUUUCUUCCCUAUACAAAUAAAAUAUAUGGAUAUAUUUUAUAAAAAAUAAAAAUAAAAUUUUAAUUAUUUUGAUAGACAUAAAAUAAGAUUUUGUUUUAAAGUAAUCAGGUUAUAGAAUUUGUGCCUUAUUAUUCAAACAUGUAAAUCAAUGACAGAACCCGUUUAUAAUUUACAUACACGUGCAUGUCUCAAUUCAAAAUCAAUUUAAAAUUAAUUAUAUUGAAAAUUACAUAUAAUAUAUACGCUUUUGAGAAAUAUAAAAUUAAUAACAAAUAUACAUCUAAUACUAACAUUCAAUUAAAACCAUUAUUUUAUAAAUCAUAAGUCCCACGAAGCAGACAUGUAAAUCUAAUUUUUAUCGAGAUAAAAUAAAUAAUAAAAUUUAUUAAUUUAAAUUAUAUGUAAGUUAUUAUUAUUAUUAUUAUUAUUAUUAUUAUAUAGAUUAUAAUUUUAUUUAUUAUCAUACAUGUAAAUUAAUUUUUAUCUAGAUAAAAUAAAUAAUAAAAAUUUAUUAAUUUAGAUUAUAUGUAAGUUAAUAUUAUUAUAUAUAUAUAUAUACACACAUUUAUUACUAAUUAUAUUUAUUAAGAUUAAUGAAUCUUUAUAUGGAAUGUAAUAGUUAAUUAAUUAAUAAAUAAUGAAGAUUAUAUAUGACAAAUUAUUGAAAUGAAAUAAUUCUAAGCAUGUCACAUAGGUUAAGGCUUAAUUCUAUCAUAAAGAAGAUGGACCGGCACUAUUUACCGGUCUAGAUAAUCCGGUACAAAACUCGGUGGGUUUUUACCUUGGGACACGUGUUUUAAUCUGGGGCAACUCAGCAAAGACUUUUCCCCCAUUGUUGAACCUCCACCGCGGGGGGGCUUGGAAGUUGCGAAUGCCAUAAUCCAUGUGUUUGUCAGUCAGAGUUUGCCUCCAUAGUUGACUUGGAAAAUGAUGAAGUCUAUAUAAAACUCCUCAUGCUUCAGCGCUAUACAGCGCCUCAAAGCUUCAAACGUUCCUUUGUCUGAGCUCACAUUUCUCAUAGAUGGAAAAUUUCUUGGAAGUUAGCAAAGAUACAGCAAGCAUACCAAGACGAGAUCUAUGGUAAGAUUUUCUUCAUCAAUUUUAUAAACUGCAACUCCAAAUUUCUGUUUUAUCGGAUGAAAUUCACGAAUAUUGCUUUGAUUCUAGUUAAUACUCUCUCUCUCCCUCUCUCAGCCAUACACCCUCCAAUGUUUCCUACAGAUAAAAUCUGAUAGUGUCUCUAGGGAUGUCAAUCGGGCCAGUCCAUCAGGUUUUCGGGCUAGUCCUAUCGGGUUCCGGGUUAGUCGGGUGCGGGCUAAUCGGGUUGGAGAUUUUUUCGAUUGUAAAUCUUCAACCCUAACUCUAAACUUUCGGGUUUCGGGCUAGCCCAUCGGGCUAAUCAGGUUAAAGGCGUAAAAAUAAAAUUAUAAUUUGUAUUUUAUUAUUCCUAAUGAUCUAAUGUAUAAUGUAUAAAAUAUACAUAGAUAUUAAAUAUAUAAAUUAUAUAGCAAAGCAUGAAAUGCAAAAAUAUAAGAUAUUCAAGAUUACAUAAACAAAAUUAUAUUAAAAUGAGAUAGUAAAAUUUAACAUGUAUCAAUGCAUUAGAAUCAAUAUGGAUUAUUACUGAAUAAUUAGUGGAUUUGCCAUGCACGUCUCAUUGACAAGAAAAAAAAAUGGUAUCACUUUAAAAUGAGAUACUAAUAAUUAAUUUCUAACUAAUGAGAUACUAAUAAUCAAUUUCUACAAAAAAUCCGUAAUUAAUUUCACUUUUUUUAAUGAGAUUGCACACACACACACACACACACACACACACACACACACAUAUACUAACUAAUUAAUUACUUACUUUUAGUAGUAGACUAAUAUAUAUAGUUAAGCAAAUACCAUAGAUCUAAACAUAGCAGAAGUUGUAACUGGAUGCAUUAGUCACAAUUCCGUCACGCCCACCGGGCCAGCCCAUCGGGUUUUCGGGCUAGCCCUAGUCCGGGUUCGGGUUAGUCGGGUGCGGGCUAAUCGGGCUGGGUAGGUUUUUUCGGGUUGCGUAUUUUUCAACCCUAACCCUGUAAUUUUGUCGGGUUAUUCGGAUCGGCCCACGGGUUUCGGGCUGCAUUGACAUCCCUACGCGUGAGUAAAAAAAAUGAGUUUUUUCCUCUCUUUUCUCUCUCUCUUCUCCCGCCAAUUUUUCUCUUUCUUCUAUUUUUAUUUUAUUUUAAUUUUUUUUCUAAAUAUCAACAGAUUUGAUUUGUGAAAAAAUAUUCAAUAUUGAUCUUAAAUUUAAGUUCGUGACAAGAUUUUUAAUAUAGUAUAAAAAUUAUUCAAAAAGAUUCAAAACAAAAAAGUUAUCAAAAAACUAAAAUAUAAAAAUUCUAGAAUCUUGCUCCAGGAAUUGGUUAGGAGUUAAAAAGAGAAUCACCUGCUUUACCACUAUGUCUCCUGCUCCAACCUCAAUUCUUUGCAUGCNUUCAUUAUCGAAUAAUUUUUAAAUUUAUUUAAUAACUAUAAUUAUCAAUAUAUUUUGUAUUAGUUGAAAAUUUAUAUUUUUAAAUUCAAAAUUUUAUUGAGUAACUUAUGUGAAUUACUAUUAUAUUUUAUUUAUAAAACAUAUUUUGUAUUUAUUUAUAUUUUGAUUUUUUAUUUAUUUAAAUUUUCAUUUAAUUUCGAUAUCCAUCGUCGAUCAUACGUAUGGGCGUAUACUAGUUAUUAUUAAAUGAGAGGAUAUAGUGAAAAUUUUGGAAGCCAUGUUUAAAAUCACCCACCAAAAUAAUCGGCAACUCUUUUGUUUUCUUUUUGGGCUAUUUCCUUCUUCGUCUUUUGUUAUUUACAAUUAGCUUGGCUCAAACUAAUGAGUCCAAGUUCAAGCCCAACAUUCUUCUUUUGCUUGUGUUUUUAAUUAGUUGGGCUCAAACUAAUGAGGGCCCACAAACAGUAGACAUAUUAGCCCAAUUUAUAACCGGAACUCAUGCUGGCUGUGGGGGUUGUAAUCAACUCGAGCUAGCAAACUUAGGGCUGUUAAAUGGGCCGGAUCAGGUCAGCCUGGCCCAGACUCACUGAGCUAUCAACUUGUACCGGAUCAGCUUGACCCGGCCCGAAAUAUGAUUGGGUUGUAAAUCAUAACUAAAUUGGCCUAAUAUUUUUUUUUAUAUGAAAUGUUAAGACUUAUAAAUCUAUGGCUUAUAAAUAAAUAUAUCCAUCAAAUAAAUUAUCUAAUAAAAGUAAUGAAUAGAUAGAUUUUCUAAAAUAAUAGAUUAUCAAAUAAAAUAACAUUAAUUACAUGUAUAAAUAAAUAUAUUCAUUCAAUAAAAAUAAUUAAUCAAUAGAUUUUUUAAAAUAAUAGAUUAUCAAAUAAAAAAAUAUUUACAAUUAAAAAAAAAAAGGAAAAACACCUAAUUCACGAACAGUAUCCAUUCACUUAGCUCAUCUUCCAAUUCUCUCAAAGUAGGCCUUUCCUCCACUGCUCCGCCACUCUCCUCAUCAUCAACAGCUCCAGACACCGAAUCUCCCCCAUUUUCCGACGCCCUCCGCCACGGAAGAAGUUGGAGCAGGCGGGGAAGAACGCCUGCGCGGCCGCCGCGCAUGCAGCCGGGAAGCGCGUGGGUCCCAUCUACGUGGAGCUCGUAAACUAGCAACGGAAAACUCGUCUCCAAACAGCACCCCGAAAUCCUAGUUUCGUUUCCGCGGCGUAGAGAGCGACGGAUCACCUCGCCGAUGAACUGCUUGAUUUUCGAUUCCGGCACCAGCGUCGGAAUCUUCAUCACGACGGCCUCUCGAUUAUUCUCGAAGGUUCCGCGGCAGAAUUUCCCGUCCGUCUCACUGUAAUUGUUGGUGGCGAUCUCCAUUUCCUGAGCUGUGUAUAUUUUGAGUUGCGCAGAUCUCGAUCUCUUGCGAUUGGAUAGCUUCUUCUUCAGUAUGUUUCCGCCAUUCCUGUCGAACAAGCUCAUUCUGUUGUGCUCGAGCUUCCGUCUCCGAUGCGUCCAAACGAUCCAAGUGCUCGCGAAGAGGGGCGCUAGCACGAACACCCCCAAUAAGUAGGGGAUUUUGGAGUCGAUGAUGCAGAUUCCAUGGCAGCUCCGCAAGGCGACCGAGGUUGUUUUGGUGACGGAGGAAGAGAGGGUGAGAGAGAAAAACAUCAACUUGAAAGGAACGGAAUUGUGGAGACAGAUUUUCAGAAGAAUCUUCAAAGGGGUGGUGGUUGGACAAGAUAGGAGACAAGAGUUUAAAAGUGCAAACAUAGUAUAUGAAAAAAAAAGAGGGUUAAUAUGUAAAAACAUAUAUAUACAAAAAAAAGGGGGUUAAUAUGCAAAAACAUCCUAACGUUAUAUAUCACUCUAACUAUACUUAAGUCCCUAAUCUAACGUUGAUAGCAACUAACACCCCAAAGUUCAUUAAGUACUACAAUUAAACCCAUAACAAAAUUUCUUGUUAUUUGAUACUAGUAUCUGACCAUAAUCUAGUCAAAUAUAAAAGAAAAUAAAAUUAAAUAAGUUGGCGAAUACUUAGUAAUUAAGGAAAAAGAAAAAAAUGGUGUAGGCACUCUUUUGGAAAUUGGAAUUGGAACCAGCAAUUUUGCUAUCUUUCUUUUUUCUUUGUUUUCGUCUGAUGUUCUUCUUCUUCUUCUUCUUCUUCUUCUUCUUCUUCUUCUCUUUUUUAUUUGUUUUUUUAUUUGUUUUUUUUAAUACUGUUUUUUCUUAUCUUUCUUUAUAUACUAGUGUGUAACUCGUCGAAAUUCGACGAGAAACCAUUGCACAUCAUAAUUAUUAUUGUAUAUUAUUUAUAGUUAUUGUAUAUGAAAUGAUCUUUAUAUAUAUAAAUUAUUUUUUAAUUAAUUUUGUUUCAUCAAAAUAAAUUGUGUAGAUUGCCUUUACAUGUAAGUUUUUAUUUGAUAAAAUUUCACAAAAAAUUGAUGUGAUGUUGAAGAUUUUAGAAAAAAAAGAUUUAGGUAUAUUUGAAAUAGGAUAUAAUGAAGAAUUGAUAGAUUGUACUUUUUGUUAAUAGUAUGUAGAAAAGAUUUACCUUCAACCAAUCUCACUCGAUAAUCUUUAGGUUUUCUCCCAACAAAAAAAAAAAAAGAAAGACAUGCAAAUUAAACCUAACAAAAUAUUACUACUUCCAUUUUCCCAUAUUUGGCCUAUAUUUUUAAGGUCAAUGAAAGUGGGCUAUAAUUUGUCUCCAAACAGCAGCCCGCAAUCCUAAUUACAUUUCCGCCGCGUAGAGUGCGACGGAUCACCUCGUCGAUGAACUGCUUGAUUUUCAAUUCCGGCACCAGUGACGUACGGAAUCUUCAUCACGACGGCCUCUCGAUUAUUCUCGAAGGUUCCGCUGUAGAAUUUCCCCGGCUCUCUGUAAUUGUUAGUGGCGAUCUUCAUUUAGGAGAGAUGCGGCCGGCUGUUUAGGUUUUAAAUUAUACUACUAGAAUCCAAUUUUUUACUUUUUAUUCAUAUUCAUUUUAUUUCCUUCUUAUCUUUUUUUUAUAUUUUUUUAUUUUUAUGUCCAAAUCAAAAGUUGCCUCCAAGAUGAUGAAUUUUUUGAUAAUUAACCAUUUUUUAUACUACUAUUUUAUUGCAAUUUUUGCUGGAUGAGUUUGUUGAUCAGAUGUUGCUGGCUUUCUCAUUGAUCUUGUUAUUGUUAUAUAGUAAUGCUCUAAGCGUGUAAUUAAAUAACCAAUAAUUGCACCUAAUCUUUUCUUAUAGCUACGUGGAUUCAGCAUCAUAUGUUUCUGAUUUCUUUGCUUCAAUUCUAGAUUUUAAUAUAUUUGUGAUAUUUUUUUUUUGGUAAUUGAUGUAUAAAUACAUAAAUUUUAGUCAUUUUUUGGUAUUUAACAUGAAUUUUAAAAUCUAGUUAUAAAUGCAUGAAAUUUAAAUUUAUUUAAUUUUUGACCCAUUUUUUAUAUCUGAUAAAAUUAAUGCUGAUAUGUCAAAAUUAGAACUUAGUUAGCAAAUUAAUUCUCUAGCUAGCAUCUGACUAAGAAAUUUCUUCUCCUCCAUUCAAUUUAUACAAAAAAAACCCUUUCACUUUUACAAAAUAUAAUAUAAAGAGUAAUUUUUUAUUUGUGUGGACUGAGGUGUUGUCCUCGUCGGUUUUUGANAAUUCUCUAGCUAGCAUCUGACUAAGAAAUUUCUUCUCCUCCAUUCAAUUUAUACAAAAAAAACCCUUUCACUUUUACAAAAUAUAAUAUAAAGAGUAAUUUUUUAUUUGUGUGGACUGAGGUGUUGUCCUCGUCGGUUUUUGAAAGCAAGGGCGGUGGCGAACCACCAUUCGAGGCCCCUGGAUCUGAUGUUUUUUUUGUAAAGGGGUUUUUUUUGCAUAAAUUGAAUGGAGAAGAGGAAAUUUAUUAGUCAGAUGCCAGCUAGAGAAUUAAUUUUGCCAACUAAAUUCUAAUUUUGACAUGUCAAUAUUAAUUUCAUCAGAUAUAAAUAUCGGGUCAAAAAUUAAAUAAGUUUAAAAUUCAUGUAUCUAUAACCAGAUUUUAAAGUUUAUGUUAUAUACCAAAAAGUGAGUAAAAUUUAUGUAUUUAUACGCUAAAUACUUUUUUUUUUCAAGAAAGAAAGAUAAUUAGCUAUUCAACGCCGGAGGAAAACAUGUAAUUUGGUGUUGCAUUCACACAAAGUAAAUUUCCAAGAACUUUCCUACCAGAGAACUCAAAUAUUUCAAGAAGGGCUCCUCUAAACUGUCACCCAAAAUUUAUUCCCACAUUAGUAGAGGAGGGAAUUGGAAAAUACGCAAUUCAUAGAAACUAAAUUGCAUGGAGGAUUAGGCCAUAUAUAUAUGCACUUGCAGGAAAACAACAUGAAAUUUCCAUUUCUUUUCAACUGGUAGAAAACCACCAUGAAAUUUUCAUCUCAACGGACAACGCGUAUUCAAUUUUACAUUUUUUUUUCUUUUCCUCUAAUAAAAAGAAAUUAAAAUAGGAUGAAAUAUAACUAUAAAUAUACAAUCGAAGAAAUUAAUCAAAACAAUGAUAUGGCUACGUUGUGAUCAAUUUAUUUUCAGUUGGAUUCUUGCUCCCAAAUUUGGAGCACCUUUGAAACUCUGUUUCAUUCUCAAUUGAAAGCUUCGAUCUUUGCAUCUUGUAAUGGGACGGAAGGAGUAACAAUUUAUUUUAAAAUAAAUAUUAAUUCAAUUAAGAAAUUAAGAAUCGUAGGAGAGAAAUGAUGGGACAAAGAGUUGGGACAUCUGAUUCUAAUUAGUUUCCUGAUGGCUAGGUUUAAUUAUUACUAUUAUUUUAUCAAAUUUUAAAAUAUGAAUUUUUAUAUAAAAGUAUAAUAGUACAUCUAUUAUUAUUUUUAAAUGAAAGGCUAAGUAAAAGAAUUACUAGUAACUAUGUUCAAAAUCACCCCACCGGAAACAAUUAGCAACCCUUUUGAUAUAUUCUUUUCUUUCUGGGCUAUUUCCCACUUCUUCUUUUUUUUUUUGUUAAUAAUUAGAUGGGCUCAAAAUAAUGAGGGCCGAACCUCAAGCCCAACAAUCUUAGACUUCCCAAAAAAACUUAGGUAUUAAAUUGAGCUUGAAUUUUUUAUUUAUUGAAUUUUCAAAGCUCACGAAUUUAUUUGAAACUUACUUUAGACUAAGAGAACUUUUUAGAUUUAAAUAUUAAUUACUUUUUAAAAUAAUAUUUUAGAAAAGCAUACUCGCUUCUCACAAAAACAUGAACAUUUCAAUUUUUGUACAUUACCUCAUUAUCUUUUAUCCCUCAUUUUCACAAAAAAUCAUCAUGACUAUUGGCUCACCACUACUUUUCCUCACUUAAGAGCACCCACAAUGGAUGACUCGAUCGUCGCCACUCGAAUCACCCAUAGAUCAGGUCUCCCACUGCAGCGGUCAUGGACUCGAGACUGACCUGAUUUAUCGGGUGAGGCCAGGGAAAAAAAAAAUCUCAAAAAACAUACCUGAACUCGGCGAGAAGUGAAGAUGAAGAAGAUGAAGUGCAAAACAUGAUCACGGCUUUUAUUUAGAUUUAAUUUUAGGGCUUUUAUUUAGCUGACUUUGGCCUUUUAAUUUUAGGUCUUUAAAUUUUUUUCAAUUUUAAAUCUAUAUUUAAAUUUUAGUAAUUAGUAUUAAUGUAAUUUUCAUUUGAAGUAAAUUGUGUUAUUUAAAUUUAAAUGAAAAAUACAAAAAUUAAAACUAAAAAAAUCAAGUCAGGUAUCAAGUCCCCAGUGGAUGCUCUAACAUGAGCUCUUCUUUAGAAUAUUGAUAAUUAGAAUUUUUAAAUUCUAUUUGUAAUUGAUUAAGUAAUUUUCCCUCUGUCCAAUUAAUUAAUUAAACGCUUAGAGCAUUACUAUAUAACAAUAACAAGAUCAAUGAGAAAGCCUCCAUCAAAAAGAAACAUCUCAACAAACUCAUCCAGCAAAAAAUGCAAUAAAAUUGUUUUAAAAAUGGUUAAUUAUCCAAAAAUUCAUCAUCUUUGAGACAACUUUGGAUUUGGACAUUAGAUUUAAUACCUUCCAAUAAUAAAUACAAACAAAAACAAGAAAGCCAAUAUUCAUAUAGUUUUAUUUAUUAAGAAAAACAUGCAAGCUAAAACACACAUGUUUACAUUUGCAGAUAAGAGUAACCAUUUCUUCAAAGAAAGCAUAGAAACAACUGUGUGAAAGAAGGUUAGUAUGAGAAGCACAGCAGCUGAUACUUCAAGUAAUUCCUCCUCAUUCUUGCCAUCCAUCUCCCACGUCGAAGCCGUUUACAUCUGUUCAAACUCUCAAACACAUUCGAGUAGCAAAAAUCCAAUGAUGAAACCACAACAUUCUUCCCCAAUCUGUUGAACAUGCUGCAGAUCAUCUCAUCACUGCCUAUGAAGUUGCUGAUGACCCCGCUUCGUCGUAGUAUCUCAACAUCUUUGGUGGAUCUGAUGAAACAAUGUAUGAAAAACAAGUAAUCUGUCACAUACCUCGGAUGAUCAUCAGGGAAGAAGCAGAGCUCGUACGCGAUCAAGUUCCUCAACAUGGACUCUAGUUUUAUCUGAUAUGCAUUAAUGGUGGGAGUUUUAUGACUCCUUUGGCAAAACUGAUAUCCCUUAGACUCAUCCCUUUCGACCCUUUUAGCCUAAUCCCGGCCUCCUCCAUCUCCGAGGCAGAGCACGUGUGGUGCACCGUGUUGCAACCGUUGUUUUCAGUGAAGCACUUGGCUGAGAAUGAGAAUGAGAUGAAAGAAUCAUACACUAGGCCUAAUAGAUGCUCAGCACUGUGCAACAUAUCUGAACUCGAGUUGAGCAUUGAGGAAUCCGGCCAUGGGAACACGUCUCCGGCUAGAAAGAGGAGGAGAUGGUGUAUGUUAUCGUCUGGAUGUUCCAUCCUUGUCAUGUCGAAAAGCUCAUUCAACACGAAGAAAGGGAGCUGGUUCUCCAACAACAGAAGAUCAUGCCUUAUUUGGACUAACAUGUGAUUAAAUUGAAAUAUUUGAUCACUCAUGUCUCUCAAAUCACUAAACCAAUAGCUUCUCAGCAGCUCAAUCACGAAGCAUCCAUCAAGAAGCAACAUCUCCACAAACUCAUCUUGAUCAAGACUGAUUGUUUUCGCGUAGUAGAGGCGAGCCUUUUCCUCCAUUCUCCUCACUUCCAACACACAUUUCUCAACACUCAACUCAGCCCUUCUUCCUAAUGUUUUUCUUAGAUACCUCAGCUUGUGCUGCUCCAUGGCCUUAACGCGAUCUUUCCCACGAUGGAUUGGGCCUAUAGAGACUAAUUCGGGUUCAAAAUCCUUUUCAUUUACUUGCCUUAGGUGUUGAUAUACUUUGGCUAUGAUAGGCUUUGAGGGAGUGAGAGAAGUAGACAAUUGAUGAAGCAAGUUUUCAAUCUUAACAACAACACUGUCUCUCUCCUCUGUCAUCUUCAAGAAUUAAGCCAAGAAACCAGAAAUUAUAUAUGCUACAGAAGAAGAAAACACCAUAAAAAUAUUAAACAUGUAGCAAUCUACAUAGGUUCAUUUGUUAUUGAAACUUACAAGAUUAACAAAAUGUCGAGCAUACUUACUAGAUUAGGAGUAGGGAAUUUGAGUAGCUGAAACACGAAGCCAAAGCGUUGAUAUUGUACGUUGCUGCAGCUGAUUUCUUCUUGUUACAUUUCUUGUAAGAGAACUUUCAUCCCCUCUUAAUAUGCAUUAUUGGAGUAGUUUACAAAGCGAAUCUUGUGGCGGAAAUUAAGUCAAUUUCCAAGAACUUUACUUUAGAUAAAGAAAUUAAUGCUUAAGAAAUUUCAUGUGAAAUUUCGUGAAUGUGGGUUCGGUCAACGAAAUUGACGCCGACUGUGUGUCUUCACAAUUUUGCACUUUGGUCAACGAAAGUUGCAGGGAAAAUCAAAAUGAAAACAACAAGGGAAAAAUAUUUUUUUUAAAAACAUAAAUUAUAAAUAAAAUUAAAAUAUAAAUAUAUUCGGUUAAAUCGAUCAAUUCGGUCCGGUUCGACGGUUUUGAUUGCAAGUAGGGCUGGUUUCGCCUGAAUCGGCGGUUCACGGUUCACUGGAACCAGUCUGCCUGAGUAUAGAGGUUCAGGGUCCGGUUUGAACAAUCGAUUUUCGGGCCGAACCGGUUAUUUUUUUUUAAUAUUAAAUUUGAAUUUGAGUAUUGUGUAUAUUUUCACUCCAGGAUCAUCUAUUAGGCCUAAUUUAUCAAUGUUUCACUCCAUUUUCAACUCAGGGUGCGUUCUGUUUGUUUGUAAAUUUAUCAUGAGAAAAUGAAGGAUAAACAAAAUUUCACCCUUUAAAUCUUUCCUUUCUUUUUCCACAUAAACUCUGCCUCAGGCCGGCAUUCGCCUCAAACGGUCUAAACAAAACCUCCUCACUUUCAAAGCCAGAGUCCUCAAAUUCCCACCUCUGCAAGUCUCAGGCAAGACAGAGUCCCUUCUGAGGAACUUGAUGGCCUACGAGCAGCUCUGCCUCGAUGAUGAUCAUCCAAAACACGUGACAGACUACGCGUUCUUCAUGCAUUGCCUCAUCAGAUCAACGAAAGACAUUGAGAUACUGCGACGCAGUGGGAUCAUUAGUAACUACCCUACCUAGGAGGCGACGACAACAUCUGCCUAAUGUUUAACAGAUUGGGGACAAACUUUCUCAUCAGAUCAUCAGAUUUUUGCUACUCUGAUGUCUUUGUGAGCUUGAACAGGCAUUGUGGCCGCCGGCACAAGAAAUGGAUGGCGAAAUUGAGGCGAAACUACUUCAAUAGUCCGUGGUCCGUGAUCAAGUUCGUUGCUGCUGCAGUGCUGCUGCUGCUCACCUUAACACAAACUGUUUUUGCUAUACUUGCUUAUGAGCAGAGGAAUGAUGUGAUGAGAGUGCGUUUGAUUUCAAUGUGAUUCAACUAUGUAUGUAUGUAGGGAGAAAAUCAUUUGUAAUCUUAUCAACUGUUUAUCUAAUGUAAAAGAUUUGAGUAAAAAAUCACUUCAAAAAUUUGUUUUCCUUCAAAAAUUUCGUAGUAAAUUACCUUGGAAUUUUAGCUAGCAGUAAAAAUAAAAAAUAAAGUGGAAAAAAAGAAUCAUAAACUUCAACUGAUAGGCCUAGUUUAUGAUUCUUUCUUCUCAUUCUCAUUCACUGCAAACAACGGUAGCAACACAGUGCACCACACGUGCUCUGCCUCGGAGAUGGAGGAGGCCGGGAUUAGGCUACACGGGUCGAGAGGAAUCACUCUAAGGGAUAUCAGUUUUGCCAAUGGAGCCAUAAAACUCCCACCAUUAUGCUUAUCAGAUAAAACUGAGUCCAUGUUGAGGAACUUGAUCGUGUACGAGCUCUGCUUCUUCCCUGAUGAUCAUCCGAGGUAUGUGAAAGAUUACUUGUUUUUCAUUCAUUGUUUCAUCAGAUCCACCAAAGAUGUUGAGAUACUACGACGAAGUGGGAUCAUCAGCAACUUCCUAGGCAGUGAUGAGAUGAUCUGCAGCAUGUUCAACAGAUUGGGGAAGAAUGUUGUGGUUUCAUCAUCAGAUUUUUGCUAUUCAAAUGUGUUUGAGAGUUUGAACAGAUGCAAACGGCUUCGACGUGGGAGAUGGAUGGCAAGAGUGAGGAGGAAUUACUUGAAGAUAUCAGUUGCUGUGCUUCUCAUACUAGCAUUUUUUCACACAGUUGUUUGCUCUUACAAGAAAUGGUUACUCUUAUCUGCAAACAUGUUGUGUGUGUUUAGCUUGCAUGUAUAUCUUAAUCUUAAUAAAUAAUGAAUAUUGGCUUUCUUGAUUUUGUUUGUANNNNNNNNNNNNNNNNNNNNNNNNNNNNNNNNNNNNNNNNNNNNNNNNNNNNNNNNNNNNNNNNNNNNNNNNNNNNNNNNNNNNNNNNNNNNNNNNNNNNNNNNNNNNNNNNNNNNNNNNNNNNNNNNNNNNNNNNNNNNNNNNNNNNNNNNNNNNNNNNNNNNNNNNNNNNNNNNNNNNNNNNNNNNNNNNNNNNNNNNNNNNNNNNNNNNNNNNNNNNNNNNNNNNNNNNNNNNNNNNNNNNNNNNNNNNNNNNNNNNUCUGUCAAACAUGAGGCAGAUGUUGUCGUCCCUCCUAGGAAGUUACUAAUGAUCCCACUGCGUCGCAGUACCUCAAUGUCUUCCGUUGAUCUGAUGAGGCAGUUCAUGAAGAACACGUAGUCUGUCACGUGUUUGGGGUGAUCAUCAUCGAGGCAGUGCUGCUCGUAGGCCAUCAAGUUCCUCAGCAGGGACUCUGUCUUGCCUGAGACUUGCAGGGGUGGGAAUUUGAGGACUCCGGCCUUGAAAGUGAGGAGGUUUUUUUCAGACCGUUUGAGGCGAAUGCCGGCCUCGUUCAGCUCCGAGGCAGAGUUUAUGUGGGCUAAUGAGUUCCUAUGUUCACCUAUGUAAAGAGUUUGAGUUGAAAAUGGAGUUGAAAACAGAGAUGCUCUGUUUUGAUCAUGUUGAAGAGGUGGUUCAAGAAGGAGAAAGGGAGCUGGUUCUCAACAGCAUCAGGUCAUGUGUGAUCUGGCUGAGUGUCGUGGGCUCGAAGACGGGGUCUUUCUCUGUCGAGGCGUCGGAGACCUGCAUGUGCCUUCUCACGAGCUCGAUGAGGAAGCAGCCAUCAAGAAGCAGCAUUCUCACAAACUCAUCUGCAUCGACAUUUAGAGGUGUUGAGUAGCAUUGGAGGGCCAUCUCUGUUUUUUCACUCACUUUUUGGACCAGUUUUGCUAUGGUGAGAUCAUCUCUUCUCUGCAGAAGUUGCUGCAGAUACCUCAGCUUGUGCUGCUCCAUCCCCUUCAGAUGAGGUUUCCCUCGAUGGAUGGGGCCGAUAGCCACGAUCUUCGGUUCAUAAUCCUUUUCAUUCACUUGGCGCAACCGAUCAUCCACUUCAAAUAUUUUGGGUUGAAUAGUGUUGUUCAAAUUCUCAAUCAAACCUUGGAUGUUGCAAGUCACACUGUCUUCUCCAUUUGACAUCUGUGAGAACUCAGCCAAGAAAGAUGCCAAAGUUUCAAUGCCAGCAACUUUGAUAUAUAGAUGAGAAUUAAACCUGCAAGACGCGAUUAUUUGGACAAAAGCAUAGUCACAAUUUGAUCAAGAUUCAAGAUGGAGGGGAAAGACUCAAUGGUGUUUGCUGUUUCUAUACAUUCUUCGUGUGGAUCUAGAUUUAUAGAUAACAUCAGCUUAAGGCUAGGUGAAGAGCUAAACAACUUAACCAGAGUUUGAGAUUUUGAGUCCGAAACUACCAAGAAGUUUCUAUGCACGAGAAAUGUAAUUUCCUAAAGUUUUGGUGUUUUGGUACAUAUCUCAGGUUUGAGAAGACUAAAAAGACAAUGCUUGCAAAUUCACUAGGAAAUUUCGCAUGAACUUUCUCAAGCAUGAAGUCUUUCUAAAGUAUAGUUCUUGGAAAUUGAUUUAAUUUCUGCACCGAACGCUCACUUUGUCAAUACAAUAAUGAAAAGAGGGCAAAAAAGUUCUUUAAAAAUAAAAUAACACGAAGAAAUCUGCAGCAGCCAGGGGCAGGCCCCCAAAUUUUUAACUUCUUUUAAAAUUUUAUAUAUUUACUGAAUACGCCAACAAUUGUACUGAAUAAAAUAACUUUAUUGAGGGGAAAGUUUCACGAAGAAAUCAGCUGCAGCAACUUUUCUCGUCUAAGGAGCAACGCUUUGGCUUCAAGUUUCAGCUACUCAAAUUUUGUUUAUCUUGUAAGUUUCAAUAACAAAUGAACCUCUGUAGAUUGCUACAUGUUUAAUAUUUUUAUGGUGUUUUCUUCUUCUGUAGCAUAUAUAAUUUCUGGUUUCUUGGCUUAAUUCUUGAAGAUGACGAGGAGAGAGACUGUGUUGUUGUUAGAUUGAAAACUUGCUUCAUCAUUGUCUACUUCUUCACUCCCUCAAAGCCUAUCAUAGCUAAAGUAAUCAACACCUAAGGCAAGUAAAUGAAAAGGAUUUUGAACCCGAAUUAGUCUCUAUAGGCCCAAUCCAUCGUGGGAAAGAUCGCGUUAAGGCCAUGGAGCAGCACAAGCUGAGGUAUCUAAGAAAAACAUUAGGAAGAAGGGCUGAGUUGAGUGUUGAGAAAUGUGUGUUGGAAGUGAGGAGCAUGGAGGAAAAAGGCUCGCCUCUACUACGCGAAAACAAUCAGUCUUGAUCAAGAUGAGUUUGUGGAGAUGUUGCUUCUUGAUGGAUGCUUCGUGAUUGAGCUGCUGAGAAGCGUAUGGUUUAGUGAUUUGAGAGACAUGAGUGAUCAAAUAUUUCAAUUUAAUCACAUGUUAGUCCAAAUAAGGCAUGAUCUUCUGUUGUUGGAGAACCAGCUCCCUUUCUUCGUGUUGAACGAGCUUUUCGACAUGACAAGGAUGGAACAUCCAGACGAUAACAUACACCAUCUCCUCCUCUUUCUAGCCGGAGACGUGUUCCCAUGGCCGGAUUCCUCAAUGCUCAACUCGAGUUCAGAUAUGUUGCACAGUGCUGAGCAUCUAUUAGGCCUAGUGUAUGAUUCUUUCAUCUCAUUCUCAUUCUCAGCCAAGUGCUUCACUGAAAACAACGGUUGCAACACGGUGCACCACACGUGCUCUGCCUCGGAGAUGGAGGAGGCCGGGAUUAGGCUAAAAGGGUCGAAAGGGAUGAGUCUAAGGGAUAUCAGUUUUGCCAAAGGAGUCAUAAAACUCCCACCAUUAUGCAUAUCAGAUAAAACUGAGUCCAUGUUGAGGAACUUGAUCGCGUACGAGCUCUGCUUCUUCCCUGAUGAUCAUCCGAGGUAUGUGACAGAUUACUUGUUUUUCAUACAUUGUUUCAUCAGAUCCACCAAAGAUGUUGAGAUACUACGACGAAGCGGGGUCAUCAGCAACUUCAUAGGCAGUGAUGAGAUGAUCUGCAGCAUGUUUAAGAGAUUGGGGAAGAAUGUUGUGGUUUCAUCAUCGGAUUUUUGCUACUCAAAUGUGUUUGAGAGUUUGAACAGAUGUAAACGGCUUCGACGUGGGAGAUGGAUGGCAAGAGUGAGGAGGAAUUACUUGAAGUAUCAGCUGCUGUGCUUCUCAUACUAACCUUUUUUCAUACAGUUGUUUCUAUGCUUUCUUACAAGAAAUGGUAACUCUUUUCUGCAAAGUAAACAUGUUGUGUGUUGUAGCUUGCAAGUUUAUCUUAAUAAAUAAUGAAUAUUGGCUUUCUUAACAUGUUGUGUGUUGUAGCUUGCAAGUUUAUAUUAAUAAAUAAUGAAUAUUGGCUUUCUUGUUUUUGUUUGUAGGGUAAAUAUCACUUUAAACCUCAAACUAUUUUCGCACUAUCAAUUAUAUCCUGAACUAUCGAAAAUAAUUUUUUAAGCCUUGAACUAUCGAUUUUGUAUCAAUUGUAUACCACAAAGUAUAUGUUUUCAAAUAGUUUUAACUGUAAUUUUCAAUUUCUAAUAUUUUUUUGUUUUAAUUUUUGUAAUUUUCAAUUUUUAAUUUUUUCUAUUUUAAUUAUCACUAUUUCCGUCCCACAAUUUAGUAUCCAUAUUUUCAUUUUAAUCUAUCCUCUAAUUUAGUAUUCAUUUCUAUUUUUAGUAAAAGUACUCCCACAACCCUAUAAAAUGUUGGCAUCUUACCUUACUCCAAUUUAAUCAUUCUAACACUCUCAUAAAUCUGAGACACUUAUUCAACUUACAACACAUUCAACCACUUUAUUAAAAUUCGUGUCAUUCUCAAUCUCAAAUGGAUAGUAAAUUGUGGGACGGAGAGAGUAUAAUUUUUGAAUUUAAAUUAAUAAAAAUUUUAAUUUUAAAAUUCGAUAUUUAUUUUAAUCUUAAAAUAUACUCUCUCUCCGUCCAUAAUAUCGUUGUCAUUUUUAUCGUUUUAGUCCGUCUGCAAAAUCCUUGUAGAACCUAAACUCUAUUCACAACAAUAUUCACUAUUAUUAACUACUACUAUUUAUCACUUUUUUAAAAUCAAUGUCGUCCACGAAAUCGCAACGAUAUUGUAAAAGAAGGCAGUAUUAUUUUUGAUAAAUACUUUCUUCGUCCCUUCUCAAUUGACCUAGUUCUUUUCGACACGGUUAUUAAAGAGACUGAUAUUGUAGUGUAAAGUAAUAUAAAGUAAAUGAAUUCAUAUCUUUUGUAGUGAAAAUUUAUUACUAAAAAAAAUUGGUCAAGUCAGGUGGAACAGGCCGCAAAAAAAAUUAGGCAAAGAAAACUAGGCCGAGUGAGCUGAGGCGAAGGGUGUAAAAUUUAUAGAGUUCAUCAUUGAACCUCCGCCGCGGAUGGGGUGACUUGGAGCAACCACUAUGGGGGAAAGUUAGGAGGCAGUAAAAUUACUUCCUCCAUUGUGGGACCGUUUACGUUGGAAAGCAAAUUGAAGGAAGCAAAUCAAAGCAAGUGAAAUUGCUACAAGUAUAGCAAAUGGUGGCCCCCUUCUUUAAUUGUUUGAUUUGUUGUGCGUGUCUUUUGUUUGAGUGGAUCAAAUGCUGAAAUGUGUUUCGAAAUUCAAUUUUUUUUUUUUGACAAAAUGGCUUCGCAAAAUGUGUUUUGAAAUUUAUAUUUUUUUUGACAUAAUUAUAUUAAUUUUAAAUUAUACUCCCUCCGUCCCGGUCAAGACGCUAUAUUUGCUUUUCAGCAUGGGAUUUAAGAAGUUGUAGAUUAAUGUUUUAAGUGUGUAAUAAUAAAGUGAUAAAGUAAGAGAGAGAAAGUAAUAAAGUGAUAAAAUAAGAAAGAAAAAGUAAUAAAGUGAUAAAGUAGAAGAGAGGAGGCAAUAAAGAAAAUACUUAAUUAGUGUUAAUUAAGUAUUUAAAAUUCCUUAUUUUUGUCAAAUAUAGAAAUGUAGCAUCUUCGUUGGGACGGUCCGAAAAAGAAUAUGUAGCAUCUUGGGCGGGACGGAGGGAGUAUUUUUUUUAUUUAAAAAAUAAAUUUAUUUGUGUAAUUAUAUAAAUUUCAUUGAAGUAAAAUAUUAUACAAAAAAUAAAAUACAUAAAUAAUAUAUAUGUAUAUAUAUAGUGAUAAAUAUAAGUAAUAACGAUAGUGGGGUCCAUGAAUAAUUAAAUACUCCCGCCGUCUAUAAAAGAACUUCUUAGGAGGGAGUGACACAGAUUUUAAUAAAAAUUAUUGUUGAGUGUAUUGAGAGUGGAGAAAAGGUAGUUGUGUGUAUUGAGAGUGGUGAAAAAGUGUUAUAUUGAGAGUUGUGAAAAGUGAAAAGUAAAAGUAAUUAUAAGUAAUGGGGGAUAGUCCAAAAAUAGGUAGAAAUUUUUUUUGUGAACGUCCCAAAAAGAAAAGGUAGGAAGUUCUUUCAUGAACGGAUGAAGUAUGAAAUCGUGGCACAAUAAAGAAAAUAUGAAAUAGUUGAAAAAUAAGAUAGGACGUUGUUGAGCUGACAUACAUAGGAGUCAUAUGUAUGCUCUUAGGGUGGAUGCUCUUAGGGUGGGAACCACUGUUGAGUAGCAUCGUAGUGAUGCUCUUACUCUUAGGGUGGGAACCACCUCUACAUGGCCUGCAAGCUGUGAAUGCUAUUAUUUCUUUGUCAGAGUUUGCCUCAAUCAUUGACUUAGAUAAACAUCUCUCAUGCUUCAAAGAUACAGCACCUCAAAGCUUCAAAUGAUCCUUUAUGUGAGCUCACAUUUCACAUAGAUGGAAAAUUUCUGGAGGUUAGCAAAGUUACAGCAAGCAUACCAAGACGAGAUCUAUGGUAAGAUUUUCUUCAUAUAUAUCAGUUUUUUAAGCUACAACUCCAAAUCAUUACUAUGUUUUCUGUUUUAUCGGAUGAAAAUCACGAAUAUUUUUUAAGCAAACAUCUCUCUCUCUAUAACCCAUACACCCCUCCAAUCUUUCCUAUAUACAAAUGAAUCUGAUAGUUCAUUAUUUUUUUUACUUUUUCUGCAAUUUCGAUUUAUUGUGAUUUAAUUUAAUUUUUUAUUUAUUAGUAAUUAGGAUUUACCAAUUUAAUUAAUGCGUGUAAUUAGGAUAUAUAUAUAUAUAUAUAUAUAUAUAAUUUAUUUUCAUUUUGUUGUAAAAAAUAAUACGGAGUAAUAAUAUUUUAUUUCAAAAUAUUACCUUUAAUAAAAUUAUAUACUUAUUUGUGAAAAGUGAUAUAUAGAUUAGCCAUAAAUCUUUAGGAUAGAAUUACAUAAAAAUAAAAAUAAAAUUAUAGUAUAUUUUUUAUAUAUAUAAUUAGAACUAUGGGUUGGAUCUAGAUCGAGUCUGGAUCUCAUAACUCCUACUUCAUAUCUAGGUUCAAAAAUUUUAAGAAUAGUCCAAAUUCAGUUUAAAUUUAUCGAAUCUGAUUUUUGCAAGGUCCAAAUCCAAAAAAAUAGAAUCUGGUUCAAUAUUCACUAUCAUCCCUAAUAAGAGAACUAUGGGAUAUUGAGUUGGAUGAAAAUAUUUUAUGUGAAAAAUUAGUUUAAAUUUAUUAUUAUUAUUAUUAUUAUUAUUAUUAUUAUUAGAAGCUAUGUCUAAAAUGACCUCACCGAAAUAAUCGGCAACCCGUUUGAUCUUCUGUUUUCUUUUUGGGCUAUUUCCUUAUUCGUCUUUUGUUAUUUAUAAUUAGAUGGGCUCAAACUUAUGAGAGUCCAAGCUCAGCCCAAUAUUCUUCUUUUGCUGUUUUUAAUUGAAUGGGCUCGAAUUACUGAGGGCCCAAGAUCAAGCCCAAUAAUCUCAUCCUACCCAAAAUAUAACCCAAUUUAUGACCUAGAACUUAUGCUAGCGGUGGCAGGCCAAAUGGGAUCCUCUGUACCAAAAUAUAGUGUAUACCACGUGUACCACUUUUCAUUUUUUUAUAUUUUAAAAUUAUUUUUUAUUCAAUUUUAAUUUAUUAUGCUUUUAUAUAAUAUAAAGAUAAUUAACAAGGGUUCACUCAUCCAUUUAGGGUUUAUAAUUAUUUUUUUUAUAUUUAUUUGAAUUAAUAAUAGAAUAUUUGGGUUCAUUUAAUUCAAAGUUAGGGUAUAUAAUUUUUUAAAUUUAUUAUUUGAUGUGAAAAAUUAGUUUAAAUUUAUUAUUGUUAUUAUUAAAUUAGAAGCUAUGUCUAAAAUGACCUCACCGAAAUAAUCGGCAACCCUUUUGAUCUUUUGUUUUCUUUUCGGCCUAUUUCCUUCUUCGUCUUUUGUUAUUUAUAAUUAGAUGGGCUCAAACUAAUGAGAAUCCAAGCUCAGCCCAAUAUUCUUCUUUUGCUGUUUUUAAUUGAUGGGCUCGAAUUAAUGAGGGCCCAAGCCCAAUAAUCUCAGCCUACCCAAAUAGUUAGACCGGGGAAAUAUAACCCAAUUUAUGACCUAGAACUUAUGCUGGCGGUGGCAGGCGGGUUUGUAAUGAACUCGAGCUAAGUAAUAAUUUUAUUACGUAAAUUUUUGCUUCUCAUACAACUUGCACUUAUAUGCUUCAUUUUAUUUAAGAUGAUACGUUUAUCUACUAAAAUAAUGCAUUCACAAUAAUCUUUAUAAUCGUAUAAUUGAAAAUACUGAUCGUUGGACGUCCAAGGUCCAACCAAUCUCACUGAAUUUGAACGCCCAAACGAUGAGUAAUUUUGGCGUCCAAAGGUCCAACCAACAAAAAUAAAACAUGCAAAUUAACCUAAUGACCUAACAAAAUAUGAGUUCCAUUUUCCCAUUGAAUUUGGCCUAUAUUUUAGGUCAAUUAAAAUGGGUCGAAUGGAUUUAUUGUAAAUUAAGUAAAUACCAAAAAUGAAAAACUCUUAAUUCAUGAAUAGAAUCCAUCUACUUAGCUCAUCUUCCAAUUCUCUCAAAGUAGGCCUUUCCUCCACUGCUCCGCCACUCUCCUCAUCAUCAACAGCUCCAGACACCGAAUCUCCCCCAUUUUCCGACGCCCUCCGCCACGGAAGAAGUUGGAGCAGCACCGCUUUCGCGCGGGGAAGAACGCCUGCGCCGCCGCGCAUGAAGCCGGAAAGCGCGCGGUUCCCAUCUACGUGGUGCUCGUAAACUAGUAAGGGAAAACUCGUCUCCAAACAGCAGCCCGAAAUCCUAAUUACAUUUCCGCCGCGUAUAGAGCGACGGAUCACCUCGUCGAUGAACUGCUCGAUUUUCGAUUCCGGCACCAGCGACGGAAUCUUCAUCACGGCGGCCUCUCGACUAUUCUCGAAGGUUCCGCGGUAGAAUUCCCCCCGCUCGCUGUAAUUGUUAGUGGCGUUCUCCAUUUCCUGAGCUGCGUAUAUUUUGAGGUGCGCAGAUCCCUCGCGCUUGGAUAGCUUCUUCUUCAAUAUGUUUCCGCCAUUUCUGUCGAACAAGCUCAUUCUGUGGCGCUCGAGCUUCCUUCUCUGAUGCGACCAAACGAUCCAAGUGCUCGCGAAGAGGGGCGGGAGCACCAACACCCCCAAUAAGUAGGGGAUUUUAGAGUCGAUGUAGAUUCCAUGGCCGCUCCGCAAGGCGGAGGUAGUUUCGGUGAGGGAGGAAGAGAGGGUGAGAAAGAAAAUCAGCAACUUGAGAAGCUUCGAAUUGUGGAGAGAGAUUUUGAGAGACAUCGUGGAAGGUGGUGAAAAUCAGCGUUCUCGGCUUUCGUUUUGAUGCCUCUCUUUGCAAUUUACACUCUGAUGUACUGAAUCGUUGGUCUGGCGGUUUGCUUAUUUUGGUGGUAGUUUGAAUUGAAUAUUGGUUGAUGAUUUUCUGAAACUCGUAUAUGGGUUUAAUGUGUGCUUUUCUAGUCAACGAACAGGAAAUUUCUAUCUUACCUUUAUGGGAAUUCUCUUAUUCAACUUUUUGCAUGUGUUUGUUUGCCACAAUUCUAAGUUUCUCUGGUGAUUAAUCAGUAUUUUGUUUCUGUCUAGGUAGAUUGAUUAGUCUUGUAGAACUUAGAAGAAGGCCUGAAUGGAAAGCAAAAUCUGCGGAUCCAUAAAAUCUGUUGUGAACCUUCAAAUUCGAUGCAAUAAUCAUUUUGUUGUGAACCUUCAAAUUCGAUGUGGAGUCCAUAAAAUCUGUAGUUCUCCUGGAGCGGAUCCUGUAUAGAAUCCAGAAAUUUUCAGACAUGUAGAUGUUUAAUUCUAAUUGUUAAGAUGCAUAUGGACAUUUAUACGUUUUAGAGGUUGCAUGAAAACUACACUAGUUAUUGAGUUUUCCAAUUUAUCUCCUAAUAAUUUAUAUAAUGUGCUUAUGUGUUUGGCUUCAGUUUCUGAACUUUGUGUCUGACGAAACUAUUUACAUUUGGUUUUCUAGAUUGCAGUUGCUCUUGCUGUUGCAGCCAUCCCUGAAGGGCUACCUGCUGUUGUUACAACGUUAGUUCUUUAUUCUGUUUUACAUAACAUGUCAUAUGUACAUCAGCAUUCUCAUACCGUUUUUCUCGGAAAAGACCUGGCAAAUGUGGCAAGGGAUUGGCUUUGAUAAUGAGUUGUUGGACAAAUCACUGAGCAACUUAUUGGAAGACCUCUGAAUCUGUUUGUCACAUGCUCUGUACGAUUUGCUAUAGUAUCUGUCAUGGAUUUGUGAGAACUUUUAGCAGGCACUCCCUGUUAGCUCUAUUUCAGAGUAUAGUUAUUGUUUGCCUUCUAAUUGGCUACCUUUGUUCGGGUAAUAGUAAUCAGUUUCUUUUGUCUGUAUUCUAUUCCCUCGUAUUGUCCUAGAUACAACAAUUCCAAGUUUAAAUAUGCUUGACCUGUUCUAGCAUCCUUGAGAAUACAUUUUGCUCAAAGUAUAAGGUGUAGGCAUAGGUCCUACUGCAAGUAUUUUUGAUUGAAUAUAUUUUCGGUAGAGGAUUAUUUAGUAUGUUCUAUAGUAGGUAAUAAACAACUAUUAAAAAGGCUUGCAAGAAAGAUCACUUUUUGGCUCAUGAAGGUUGGCUAUGGGUUUACUAGGUUAUUGUCUUAGGUAGGCCAGAUAAGGAUGCUUAUUCAGUCUCUUACUUUCACCCAGCAGUGUUGAUAUACUUGCAGAUAAAGAGAAACUUACUUUCACCUCUGUUUUUUGAGGAAAUGCUGAUUGUUUCAAAUCCAUGCUUAAGAAGCAGCUUAGCUUUCUGCCUUACACAUCUUAAUUUCUCUGAGUGUCAGCAGGUGUCUAGCUCUUGGAACGAAACGAAUGGCUCGUUUAAAUGCUAUAGUUAGGGCGUUGCCAUCAGUAGAGACCUUAGGCUGUACAACAGUGAUUUGCAGUGACAAGACUGGUACUCUGACUACUAAUAUGAUGUUUGUCUCGAAGGUAUCAAUUUACACACAAUAAUCCUUCGUUCUUCUUUUACUUCUUUUAUUUUCCUCUGGGUUAUACUUUUUUUAAGGUUGAGAAGGGGGAAUAUAUGCUUUGGAAUGUUUCUCCUUUAUUAGCUUUGUCAGAAGCUCUGAUAAAUUUCUCUACACUUCUUACAUUUUAGCACUUAUGGUUUCACGUAAUGCUAGACUAAUUAAUUUUUUGUAUUUUUCCCCAUCAAGCUUCAAUUAUUCUGCCCAUGUGUUUAAGUGUGCAUAUACUUAUUUACACCAAUAUGUUAUUAUGUACUGCAUAUUUUCUUACAACUACUUUCACUGUAAAAGUUGAUUAAAAUGGCAUUGCUACUUUGAAUCACUAGGAAUUCCCCAUUUUUUGUGAGGACCAUUGUGAUGUUUAUAUCGAAAGUGGCAGACUGUGUCAGCCUUCCUAAAGAACUAAUAUUAAGUAUAACAUCUGCUUUCUCUUUGCAGGUAUCUGUGCUCCAUUCUGCAAAUCAUGUUCCUGUUGUAUUAAUACAUGUAAGUGGCACCACAUAUGCUCCAGAAGGUACUAUCUCCGACAGCACUACAGAGCUACAGGUAGUGUUCUAUUCAUGACAUUAGGUUUGUAUUUAUUGAUUGAUUAUAAGUUUAACACUAGACCAGUUUUCGAAAUAUCAAUAGUUAGUGCAAUGGAUUUUGUACCAGCAUUAUUUAUCUUGAAAAAAUCAUGUUUUCUUAUCAACUUAUAUUUAGUUUCAUAUCUUCUACAAUGUAUUGAUGUUUCUGACUGCUGUCUAAAAUUUGUCUACUUUGUACUUUGUUAUUCCAUAUGGUCACAGAUUCUUCUUCUCCCCUUGCUUGCUUACCAAUCCAACUACAAUUUUUUUUUUGAGAACCACCAUCUACCAAAAAUUUAUUAAAGGAUAUAUGCACCUUUUUCCUGAUUAUUUUGGCUUAUUAUCUUUCAUAUACUCUUUCGAAGGACCCUGUUUUCCCCUCUUUAUAGCUCAUCCAAUCUCCCUAGGCUCUGUCUAGGUUCCAGGUGGCCUUUUACCGUUCCUGCUUUUCCAAAUUCACCUUGCUCAGCCCUGCUGGACAGCUGGCUCCUUUUAGAAUAUUGAGCUUCUACUAUUUUUACAUGAUUCUUACUUGUCUAUUUUUAUUUUGGGUUUAUUAUAGUCAUAUAUUGACAACUUUUAUGUUUGUUAUUUGUAUUAUUUGUUGUAGUUAUUCUUAAUGUAAGAUUUAUCUGGGACCUAAUGCAGCUUGGGCUUCCAGCUAAUUUUCACUGUCUUCUACACACAGCAAUGUGCUCUGCCCUUUGCAAUGAAUCUAUUAAUCAGAGGCAUGUCUGACUGAAACAUAAGGAAGUUUGGACAACCAUCUGGUUGCACCAUUUCGUUAGUGGGUAUAAUUUCCAACUAUUUAGAUAUGGAACCUGUUGUCCAAUUACCACUUGUGAUAUCCUCACCAGUCUAUGGCAGGCAGUAUUAUAGCUAAAGUCAAUGAUGUUGUUGGUUUGAGGAAUUCAACCACAUGCUUAUUUAUGGAAUGAGGAAUGAGUCUUUCAUAUGUGGCUAUUUUUUUCAAACUGCCACUAAUGUUGUACUUAAAUACUAGCUUCUUGCAAUUUUUCCAUAGAAUUCUGUCAUAUGUAGUACCACAUUCGCUAAAAUGAUCCAGGGAAAAUGCAUAACAUGGAAUAUGACCACCUUCACCCUACAGGGAAUGUAUUGUUAUAGUUUCGGAGGUUUUUCUCUUGUCCUUGUACCAGUUAAUCCAUCUAGCUAAGUGACUGUCACUAUACUGAAUUUCAUGUAGCCUCUGCCUUUUUAAUGAAAUUUCACUGUCACAUCUUUUUUACUGUAUUUAUAUGGUUGAGUAGCUUUCUCAUCUUCUUGUCCUCAAGGAGGCCGAGAAAGAAAAAAAAAUGAAAGAAAAUGAAAUAGUUGUGUGAAAAUACUUGUAGAAAAUAUUAAAUCGGAAGAUGAGUUAAUUUUCUUUAAAUAUUGUAUUUUGUUGAAGCUUGUACUUCCAUGUUAGAUAACUUCUGAUCGUAUCUAUCAGAAAAAACUGCAAAUGACCUAUUAAGCAACUUGGCCUCGUACCUAAUGGACCAAAGAUUCGUGGGCUCGAUAAUUCCUUGGUUACAGCAGGCAAGUUCUUUUGGUUGCACUAUUUAUAACUAUAUGAAAUCAUCCAUAUCCGUAACAAAUGAUUAGCAUGUUAUCUAAAUGAUCACUCUGUUUUCAUCAGCUUGUGGAUCUCAGUAACAUCCACGGACCAACCUACCUGGUGCUCUCCUCGAAGACGAAACAAGAAUUCUUAUAUGGAGUCCAGGAGGCUGCCAAAUUGGAGAUAUUCAAUCCUGCAGAGAGAAGAUGCCUUACUGAAAUAGGCAAAAUGUUGUGCCAGUUUUGGGGUUAAGACAUUUUUACAUGUUUGAAUCUCUUAAGUGGAGUUCAUUUCUGUAUUGUAAUUCAAAUCAGAAAUCUUGCACAUUAUUUGAUGUGAAGGCUGGGAUCUGAUUAGUAAUAGGUCGUGUUGAAGUUGUAUAAACAAAUCUAUUGCUCCAGUUUGUGCAAAGUAUGAAGUUGUGCCUCAAGAUUUAGGGGUCAAAAUUUCACAAUCUGACUGGUUAUAAGCAUGACAAAGCUCAAACAGAUAUAAAGCAUUUGGUGAAAUAAGUCAUUUAUAAUCGGGUGUCAAAAUGCUUUUCUUGGAUACAUAAACACUUGCUUACUUUUCCAUUGAUAAGAAGAGCUACAAUGUUUAUGACUUGUGAAAAAUUAGGACAGAAUGGUACAGACUUAAUCUUCAAAAAAAGAACCUGUUUGCAUACACUUUCUUAACUGCAGGUUUCAACAAUCAAAUCUUAGAGAAGAGGCAAUAGAGGCUUUACUCCUUUGAAGGCUCAUUAGGUUGUUGAUUCUUUAUAGGGCGCGUCUUCUCUUUCGCUCUGACUUCUGAGUUGGUUUCUUAACCCUCUGUUGGGAUUCUGAGGCGCAUUUUUUGAGACUUCGUAAAGGGUUAUACUACCACUACUUUCUAUUGGGCUGAAUUCUUGUGUGACGAGGGGUUCGAGUAUCUCAAUGACUUGACUCAUGAGGGGUCUUCCUUUUGGGUUCUGACUGAGACAUUGAAAUGCCAGAUUGGCCACUUUCAUAAGAAUCUUGGUGGAGUACUGCCCCUCGAUUCUAGGAUCCAGUAUUCUCGAAAGCUUCUUGCUAUGGUUGAGGAGUGGACGUGCCCACUCCACAAGAUUAUGUUCUCGGCUUGGCCUGCUCUUGUCCAUCGCACGUCUUCCUAUAAGCAUCUCAAGCAGAACAACUCCAAACCCAUAGACAUCGCUUCUUGCUGUCAAAUGUCCUGAACAAUGUACAAAUGGAUGAUCAUUCAAUCACUAGUCAUAAACAAUGCAUUUAAAGAUGGUAAUAAGAGAUUUAGCCACAACUCGUCUAAGACUUAUAUCAAAGAGCAACCUACGCGUAAAUGGUAACAUCAGAUGUAGCGUUCAUAUCACGUCUGCCAUCACAAGACUCACCAGUCAUGACAUACUCAGGAGCAGCGUAACCAUAGGUGCCCAUAACCCGGGUUGAGACAUGAGUUUGAUCUCCCGUUGGCCCAACCCUUGCCAGCCCAAAAUUAGAAAGCUUUGCGUUGAAAUCCUGUGCUCGUUAUACACUUUAGCCACUGAAUGAUCGAUGGAGAUGACAAAAUUUUGCAUAACCAGAAGACAUUGUGAAAUCUAUGGGAUUCAUCAGUAGAAUUCCAUCCAAAUAUGUAACUCAUUUAUAAGACCUCAUUUGUACUAGUAAACACAUCUACUAACCUCAUCUAGCAAAAUGUUUGAAGUCUUAAAAUCCCUGUAAAUGAUAGUUUUUUCAACACCAUGAAGAAAAGCAAGCCCUCUCGCAGUAUCCAAAGCAAUCUUUAGUCUUCUAUGCCAUGUUAAUGUGGCUCGUACCCCUACAAGCAAAAACCACAGAAAAACUGUAAGGAGACUAACUAGGCUAAACCAGGUGGGAUAAAGAGCGCACACAGUCCAUCACACGUCUCUUUUAGUUUGAUGGUGCACUGUAAUAGCUAAUAUCUCCUUUAAUUUUUCAAAAACUAUGUUGGCAUCACAUAUAAUACAACCUCCAAUUUCAAAAUGAAUGUUCUUAUAAGCAACUUCGUUUUAGAUGGUUAUUGAAACCUCAGUUUUCCAUAUCAGGUGAUUGCUACACGAGUAAAUGAGUGAAAGAAUGCAAGUCACUCUCAGCUGAAACAAUUUCCCACUACUACCACUUACUAAAGAAAAGGUGUUUCUCGAGGCUCCCAGAUGCCAUAUAUUCAUAGACCAAAAGCCUAUGGUCAUCCUCGCAGCUGUAGCCAAUAAGUUUCACCAAAUUAGGAUGUCGGAGUUGGCCUAAAUAGUUUACUUCUGCCUGCAAAGGACAACUUACACAUUCAGCGAUAACUACCUUCUCUACAUUUAAUGAAUUAGAAAAAAGUUUCACUGAAUAGAUUUUUUAGAUUCGAGGCAGCAAAAGCAGUAGAGAUGGGUGCAGCCAUCCAGUCACUUAUUUGUCUAGAAAUUGAAAUAUUGUUCUGAUAAAAUUUCAAUUGCUGCUCUUCCGAUCCCAAUCAACAGCAGCUAAUUCUCAACCAAACAUAAUACAAGGACCAGGCUGCACUCCACAGAUACACGAUGGCUUAUCCCAUUUCAUACUUACUUUAUAAAACUAAUAAAAAGUAGAAUAUGGGAAAUUAAGUUUUCUGGUAAGUUAAUAUAUAUAAUGAAUAAUGGGAUUUGGCUUUCUAACCAUCAGAAUAAUAAACAAUAACUACCUGUGUUAUGCGUAUAUUAAAAAAAUAAAAGUAUUAAGCAUCCUACGGCGGAUAUCGGUGAAAAUCUCAUUUCAAUCAUUCUUCUUCUAAAGGCUGCGCCUAUACAUAUAUGAGGUUUGGGCUACAGAAAUACAGAAUUAAUCAAACCCACGCAAACAAAGAAGCGAGAUGGCGAUGGCUAGGCGAAGGGCGGUGAUGCUGUUCUCUGAGACAAAUUAUCGAACAUGUGGCGUUCGUCUGAAACGCAAGCCACCGAGCAUGACGUUCUAGCACCAGUCUCUGCAAGCGCAACCAUGACUAGGCAGAAGACAACGCCUAGCUCUCCUAUCUAUCUGCAAUUUUCAUUUUACUAUCAAUUUAAACACUAACACAUAUCAUACAUACAUGAUAUAUAUAGCAGGUUCUUGAUAAGAGUUUGAAGAUCAGUAUCUUUCACCAGCGAGAUAGAGGCGUAUUCCUCGACCCUCGUCAGCUUUUUCAGCUCUCGAACGAGUCGACUCUGUGAAGCUCUCCAAAGGCAAAUCGACGUGCAUGCUGACUUAAGUUAGCAUCUUCGAAGUUGACAAUAAACCCACUGAAUCAUACCUCCUCCUCGUUUGUUACAUCGAUGAUUUGUGAUGUUUCGUUGUCCAGCGGGAGGAGGACACCAAUAAAGGGAAACAAUUGAACAAUCGAUAAAUGAGGAAAAAAAAGGGAAAAUCGAAGGAGAAGGAGUGAUUUAUGUGAUGAGAAACCGAGGAGGGAGAAAUGAGGGGAAAUUUGAGCAAAAAAGUAAAUAAAUUGCCUACUUUUGGAGGGAUUUUUUUUCGUUUAGGCGGGAAGUGAUUUCCUUGGGGGGAAACAAAAUUUUUCAUGUCAUAUUAAUUUAUGGGGUCCAACCAUAAUUUAAAAGAGAUAUGUUUUAUAGCUCCAACUUAAAAACAACUCUUUUGUAUAUCAAAAUGAGUUAAAUGACUAAAACACCCUCAUAUUAUAUCAUUAAAAAAAAGGGAAUCAAGAUUUUCGUCCAAGUCAAGGAUGUGAAGAAGAUUUUACUUGAUAUUAAAGGUCCUAUCAAGAAGUAUAGGUAGCUUGAAGGAUCUAGAAUAUUUUGUCUUACUCAACUUUGAAACAUAUUGAGACUUAUUUUGAGACUUAUUGAGACAUAUUCCAUGUUAUUUAUUUUUAGUUUGGUAUGUUGUUCAUUCUAUUUGUUAUGUUGAUUUUUGUAUAUUAUUGUCUUGAGAAACAAAAGAAAAACACAAAAAAAUGUUGGUGGUUGUCGUGAUCAUGAUGGGGGCUUCCCAUCGUGGACACAAUGGCAGCCAUCGUGGUCACGACAGCGCCAUCGUGGGCCACGGUCGUGCCCUCGCCCCCGUCGUGCCCCGCCCUCGCCCACGCCCGCCAUUCGCUCCGUCGUGUCCACCAUCGUGUCCACGAUGGUAGGACACGAUGGUGGACACGAUGGCUCUCACGAGUCAUCGUGUGGUUAUUAAUAUCAUUUAAUUUCAAACUUAAAUAUGAUUAUUGACUUGUUUAAUGUAUUAUAUUAUGUUUAAAAUUAUAAUUUAGCAAUCAAGCUUGAUUUGUAAUAAAAAUUAAACGAGUUGGAGUUAUAUACAUCGAGAUCUAUGAAUAUCUACUUGAAAAAUACUUAUAACAUUUCAUGGAAUGUUAUAUAGUUGUCAUGACUCAUUUCACAAAAACACUUAAAUUAUGUGUUUUAAGACAAAAUGGUUUGAUUAACUAUGUAUAAUGUUGUUUAGAAGAUAUAUAACAUGUUCAAACUUAAAUUAGUCGAAUAUAACAUCAUAAAUUUUAAAAAUUUCAAACAAUAAUAACACACGAUCGUGUACCCGGUCGUGGACACGAUGGUGUGAUUGUGGUCACGAUCAUGGCCAUCGUGAACCACGAUCGUGCCCUCCGUUUCUCCUGCCCGAACCCAUCGCGGGCACGAUGGGUGCCUCCCAUCGUGAUCAUGAUGGGAGGUUUCCAUCGUGAUCUCGGCAAAUAACAUGGAAUAAAUCUCAAUAAGUUUCAAAGUUGGGUAACGACGGGGAAGACACGACGCGAGGGCACGAUCGUGCCCACGGUUGUGCCCACGGUGAGCUCCAUCGUGAGGUGUCAUUGUGGGCACGAUCGUGUCCACGAUGGUAGACUCACGACCAUAGGCACGAUGGCUCUCACGAGUCAUCGUGUGGUUAUUAAAAUCAUUUAAUUUUGAAUUUAAAUAUGAUUAUUGACUUGUUUAAUGUAUUAUAUUAUGUUUAAAAUCAUAAUUUAGCAAUCAAGCUUGAUUUGUAAUCAAAAUUAAACGAGUUGAGUUAUAUACAUCGAGAUCUAUGAAUAUAUACUUGGAAAAUACUUAUAACAUUUCAUGGAAUGUUAUAUAGUUGUCAUGACUCAUUUCACAAAAACACUUAAAUUAUGUGUUUUUAAGACUAAAUGGUUUCAUUAACUAUGUAUUAAAAUGUUGUUUAGAAGAUAUAUAACAUGUUCAAACUUAAAUUAGUCGAAUAUAACAUCAUAAAUUUCAAAAAUUUCAAACAAUAAUAACAUACGAUCGUGUACCUGGUGGACACGAUGGUGUGAUCGUGGUCACGAUCGUGUCCAUCGUGCCCUCCCAUCGUCGUGUCCUCCGUCCCCUCCCCCCAUCGUGUCCUCCCGUCCCCCGGCCCCGUCGUGUCCUCCGUCCCCCAUUCCCCUCGUCAUGUCCCCCGUCCCCCCCGGCCCGUCGUGCCUUCGGCCCAUCGAUGGCCGUGAUCGUGCAACGACCGUGCCCACGAUGAACAUCGACGGUCGUGCCCCCUGCCCACAAUGGACACGAUGGUCGGGGGACGGUCUUAUCGGCUGAGACAUUACCAUUGUGGGCACGACCGAGGGCACGAUCGUGCCCUCGCGUCGUGGCCUUCGCCCCCUUCCCCGUCGUCCCAUCGCUCCUCGCCCCCCAUCAUAGCCUUCGCCCCCUUCCCACCCCCAUCGCCCCUCGCCGGUCGCACCCCCUCGUUCGUGCCAUCGCCCAUCGCCCUCUUCUCCAUCGUGCGAUUGUGGGCACGACGUGGGCGACGGUCGUGCCGUCGUCGUGCCUCGUUGCCGCAGCCCCCUUCACCUCGGUCGUGCCAUCGUCGUCGCCCGUUGUGGACGCGAUGGGGGCUCCCAUCGUGGACACGAUGGUGCCGUCGUGGCCACGACCGUGGCCCACGAUGGCUGCCAUCGUGUCCACAAUAGGGGCGCCCAUCGUGAUCACGAUGGUGCCGUCAUGUCCACGACCGUGGCCCACGAGUUUAGCACAUUACUAACAUUGAGAAAACUGAAAGUUCUAAUUGUUUGUUAAAUAUAAGAUGAUUUUCUAAACACUAAUAUUUAUAUAAAUAAAUUAAAAUAUAGUAAAAUUUGGCUUAAUAUAUUUAGAACUAAUUCAUCUUGAUACGUCUGCAUAAUUUUUUUAUUUAUUCAACGUGGAAAAAUUAUCUUUUGUAUUAAAUUAAUGACAAUACAAAUUAUCUUUAUAUUAUAAACACUAAGCAUUUCUAUCAAAUAUAUGCUUUUUUAUAGCUGUAGACGAGAUGAUUCUCAAAAUUCACUUUUGAUCUUUCAAACUCUAAACGAGAUAAUGUUAAAAAGUUAGAGGUGGUCUAUCAAACUUCAUACAAGAUGUAUUCAAAACUUAAUUUUGGCUCCAAACAAUAAAUUGCUCUAAGUUAGAAGUGAUUUGCCAAACUCCAAACGAGAUGAUUCUUAUAACUAAAUUCCGAUCCUUUAAACUUCAAAUGAGAUCAUGCUUAGCACUCAUCUACAGUAUUUCAAGCUCCAAAUGAGUGAUGCUUAGAACUCAACUCCAGUCUAUCAAACCAUGGACAAGAUUAUACUUACAAAUCAGUUAUAGUCUUUCAAGCUCCACACGAAAUUAUUCUCACAAGCCAGUUAUGAUCUUACGAGUAUUUUGGUUUCAAACAAUAUGAUGCUCACAAAAUUAGCAGUGGUUUGUCAAGUUUCAAAUGAAAUGAUGUUCAUAACUUAAUUUCAACCUUUGAAGUUUCAAAUGAGAUAAUGCCUAACACUCAACUCCGGUCUUUCAAGCUCCAAAUGAGUGAUGCUUAGAACCCGGCUCAGGUCUCUCAAAAUAUAGACAAAUUUCAUAUAACAAGCUUUAGAUAAGAUAAUGAUUAGAUGUUCGACGUACAAAAGUCAAAUGUGAUAUUUCAAACCACAAACAAGAUGAUGCUCAAAGUCUUGUAAGAUUCGAGAUGACGUUCAUAUAUAAGAUGUGAUCUUAAAUUUUGUUUAUCAAUUUAUAAAAAUUAUACUCCUAUAAAAUUAGUAAAUCUUUCCUACACAUUAUAAAUAAAAAAUACGAUGUGUCAAUCCUUCAUCAUAUCAUAUGUCAAAUAUACCUAAUUUUUUUCUUCUUAUUUUUCUAAAUCUCCAACCUCACAUCAACUUUUUAUGAAAUUUCAUCAAAUAAAAAUUUAUAAAAAAANUUUCAAACCACAAACAAGAUUAUGCUCAAAGUCUUGUAAGAUUCGAGAUGACGUUCAUAUAUAAGAUGUCAUCUUUAAUUUUGUUUAUCAAUUUAUAAAAAUUAUACUCCUAUAAAAUUAGUAAAUCUUUCCUAUACAUUAUAAAUAAAAAAUACGAUGUGUCAAUCCUUCAUCAUAUCCUAUGUCAAAUAUACCUAAUUUUUUUUCUUCUUAUUUUUCUAAAUCUCCAACCUCACAUCAACUUUUUAUGAAAUUUCAUCAAAUAAAAAUUUAUAAAAAAAGACAAUCUAUUUUAACUCUCACCAAAAAUUAACUGACAAAAAUUAUUGACUAUCAUAUGCUAUAAUAAAAAAUAAUACUCCCUCCGUCCCUAAAAUAAGUUCUUCUUUUUCCUUUUUGGGACGUCCCAUAAAUAAAUUCCUCUUUCUUUCUUUCCAUUUUUGGACAACUACCCCACCACUAAUAAUACUUUAUUUAUUCUUACUUUUCACUUAUUCACCACUCCCAAUACUAAUUAUACCACUUUUUCACCUUUUCACCACUCUCAAUACUAGGGCUGUCUAAAUGGUUAUCGGGUUUUGGGUAUCCAAUUAACCGAACCGAAAUUCCCGGGUUUGGGUAUCCAAUAACCGAAAAUUUCGGGUAAUCGGUUAUUAUUUUUUUGGAAAUUUCGGUUAUCGGUUAACCCGAAAAAUCGAUCGGGUUAACCGAAUAACUGAAAUUAUUUUAUUAAUUAUUUAAUAUAUAUAUUAUCAAUAUAUCAUAUAUAAUAUAUUAUAUAUUUGUAAAUUAAUAUAUAAAUAUAUUUGUAAAUUAUUUAAUAUAUAUAUAUAUUUGUAAAUUAUUAUAUAUAUAUAUAUAUUAUAUAUAAUAUAUUUGUAAAUUAUAUUUGUAAAUUUACAUAUAUAUUAUAUAUUUGUAAAUUUACAUAUAUAUUAUAUAUUUACAAAUAUAUUAUAUUUGUAAAUUUACAUAUAUAUUAUAAUAUAUUUACAAAUAUAUUAUAUAUUUGUAAAUAUAUAUUAUAUAUUUGUAAAUUUACAUAUAUAUUAUAUAUUUGGAAAUUAUUUAAUAUAUAUAAUAUAUAUUUGUAAAUAUAUAUUAUAUAUUUGUAAUUUAUUUUAGAGUAGAUAGAGCAAAAAUUAUUUGAAUUUUAUUUUUUAAAUGGGUAUUUCGGAUACCCAAAUAACCCAAUUGGUUAACCGAAGCGGGUAUUGGGUAACUGAACUUCUAAAAUGGUUCGGGAACGGUUAUUGAAAUUUGGCAAUUUCGGGUUCGGGUAACCGAAAAUUCGGGUACGGGUAACCGAACCCGAACCGAUCGACAGCCCUACUCAAUACUAAUUAUAACAUAUUUUUCUCUACUAUCAAUACACUUUACAAUUUUUUCUUAAACCGUCUCCAAAGAGAAACUUAUUUUGGGGACGGAGGGAGUAUACAAUAAUAGUUACUCCCUCUGUCCCUAAAAUUUGUGGACCAAAAGAGAUGGCAUGAGUUUUAAGAUAAAGUAUGAUAGUUAUGUUUAAAUAGAGAUUGAGUUCCACACUUUUUUAUAAAUAAUGAGAGGAAAAUUUUGUGGGGUCAUUUCCAAAUAAAAAAAGACCACAUUUUUCAAGGGCGUCUCAAUAUAAUAAUAAAACCACAAUUUUUAAGAACGAAGAAAAUACAGUAUAAAGUGGUUCCCCGUCGAAUUUCGACGGGUUAAUAUUUUUAUUAAGUGACCUGCAGCGGUGGUGGUGUGUAAAUUUUUUAAAUUAAAUUGGUAAAGCAUAAAAAAGUUUCAAUGUGACCAAGAGAAAGAAGUACAUAUUUAAAUAUUUAAUAGAUGCAAUUAAGAUAAAGAUAAUAGAUGAGAAAUAUUUGAAAAAUAGGAUCUUUGAAUUUCUUAUUUUUAUAAAGUAAUUCAUCUUUUUUUAAAUAAUUAAAUCUUAUAGUUAAUACCAAUAUAAAAAUAAAAUUAAAUGAAUUAAAAAUCAGCCAAAAGGCAAUUCUCGACAAACGUGCAACUAUAGUUUGAAAAAGUAACUAAGGUAGAGCCAAUUUCUUUAUUAAAUAAAAUGUUUUAUUGAAAUUAAAAAUAUUUGCCACAUGGCAAGAUCUCAACGGCGAGCUGCAUUAAAGCAGUGGCACGAUAGAAGCACCCCAUUGGGGGAAGUAAUAUAGUACUCCAUACUUCAUCUAAAAAGACAAGACAAAAGUCAUACCGCAUGGGCCCAUACCCCACCUUUGAUUGCGAAGGUACUUUUUGGUUAGGAUUUUUGAUGGAAUAUUAACAAAUCUAAAUAUUUUAUUAUUUAAAGCUUAAUUAACAAUCAAAUUAAUCAAUAUAAACAUGAAUAAUCAAAUUAGUUCAGCAAGUGAUACGGAGCCACCUUUGGGCCUCCUAAUUUUUUUUUUUAAUUUUGUAAAAAAAAAUUAGUAAUGUUAUUUUAUUAUAUAUACAGUAUAAGUACAUAAAGUAGGAGGAUUUGUUGUUAAAAAAUUCCACAUAAAAUUUAUAUGUAUUUCAGAUUUUUUUUAAUCUAUAUUUAUAUGUAAUAAUUUUAUAUUUCAAAUAUUAUUUUUGAAAAAAUUCACAUAUAUAUAUACUUCAAUUUGAAUUUUUUAAAUAAAUAAAGUAAUCCACAUCAAUUACUCAAUAAAGAACUUGACUCUAAAAACACAUAAAUUUUUAAUUUUAUAUAAAAUGUAAUGAUAACUAUUGUUAUUAAACAAUUUAAAUAUUUUAUAAACAAUAGUAAAAUUAUAUUUAAAUGUUAACCAGAUAUAAUACUUAGGUGUUAUAUUUAUAUGUUCAAUAUUUACGUGACUUCAAAUCACUUAGUUUUUAUGAAAAAUAUGUAUUGUAAAGAUUUUCAUAAUGGCAUAUAACAUAGUUGAGUUAUGAUUUUUUUUUUUUCUAAAGUGUCAUUUUUAAUUUUUCUCCUAUAUGAAGAAAACCUUUUUUUUUCAUAAAUAAUAGAAGAAACACAUCAUUAAUGUUGAAGGGGAUGAGUAAAAACAUGUUCACAUUAAAAUAUGUCAUUUUAAAAAAAUUGAGCUAAUCGUGUAUAAAAUUAUUUUUUUUAAGACUAGCUCAUUAAUUAACUAUGUUUUCUUAUUAGUGAAGUUUAAAUUGGCCAGUAGGAAAACAAAUCAUAUUAUUACAACUUUUAAAAAUACUAAUAAAAAAUAAAGUAAGUGUUAUAUACCGAAAAAUGAACUCCAACAAAAUUAGAAUAAAAUAUUUAGAUUAAUUUAAGUGUUAUCCCGAAACAUAUAUACUUAUUUAAUUACGUAUAUAAUUUUAAUUUUUUCCUAAAAAAUCAAAUUUUAUAAAAUUUAAUUGAAUAUAAUUUUGAAUAUGUAAACGUAUAUUUAUCAUUAUUUGUGAAAUAUAAAAAUUAUUUGAUAAUGACGAUUAAUACAAAUUUUACUAUUAAAUAUAAUUUUUUUUAAAUUCUAAAGAUUUAUAAAAUGAACCAAUAUAAAACACAAAACUCAAUAUCUAAUUAUUUUCCUUUUGAAAAACACAAAAAUCAAAAGUACAUAAAAAUAUAAAAAAAACAAUAAAAUUUAUAAAUAACGAUUUUACUACUGUUCUCAUAACAAAAAUGUACAGCAAUACAUGUUAACUAUCCACAUGUAUCUAUAUAUAUAAAUAUAAUUUAUCAAAAUAAUUGAUUAUCUGUCUCAAUGGAGACUCGAAAAUUACAUAUCAAAUAUUUUAUUAACUAAAGUGCACGAUUUUUAGGAAAGAAAAAAAAGAUAAUAAAAAGAAAAGAAAGGGAAAAAAUUGUUAAAUGAAAAGAAAGAGAGUAUUUGAUUUGAUUUAUAUUGUAAACUUCACAUUAUACAUUUUUUCAAAAGGAAUAUGCAUUCAAAUACAUAUUAGCAAGAAGUAAUUGUCGGUACCAUCUAAAAAACAUAAUUUAUGACCAUUUUUAUAAUUUUGGUCAAAAAUAUCCUUGACCCCGCGGAUCCUACUCUCCCAGUCCAACCACGUACAGUGUUCUCUCUCUGUCUCUCUCCCCCCGCUCUUGGCACAAAUAGUAUAAUUAUGUCAAAUGUACCUAAUGAAUGACACAAUUGUCACGAAUUUACCCAUUUGUACCAAAUGUGUCAUCAUUCAAUCUUCAGUCACAUUUGACACAAAUGUGCAUAAUUGUGUCUAGUAUGUACUUAAUGAAUGCCACAAUUGGCCUGAAUUACCAUUUGUACCAACUGUACCAUCAUACUGCGUGCCCAACUCGAAGCCCAACCCACACGCAAACCCGAACGCGCUCCUAACUAAGGGCAAAACAGUCCUAAAACGUAAAAAUUGGUCAAAAUUUUUGUUUUUCAGAUGGGAGACCAAAUAUUGAGUUUCAUUGUUCAAUAUGACCAUCUCACAAGUUUACUCUUUUCAAAAUUGACAUUGAAAUUAAUUUCAAAUUAAAAUCUUGACUUUUUAAUAUAUUAUACUAGAAUUGAAGGUUUUAUCGUAUAUUAUAUUUUAUAUUUUUUUUUCCUCUUUCUUAUGUAUCCAUGAAUUGCAUAUUUUUAUAUUUAUUUUAUUUUUGUUCAUCUUUUUAUUAUUUUUUCUUUUUAAACUUGUGAAAUUCGCCCAAUUUUAAUAUAUUUGAUAUCAUAUCAAAUUAAAGAUUAAAGUUCACGACAAGAAAUUUAAUUUGAUAUAUUUUAUGUAGAUAAUGAAUUUAAGAUUUAAAUACAUGAGGACUAGUUUUUUAUGGAAACUUUUUUGCAGAUGUAUCAAACUUCAAACCUUUGCAAAAUAACAAAAGUCAUACCCCAUACCCCAUACCCCACACCCCACACCUUUGAUUGCGAAGAUACCUUUUUCUUUAGUUUUUUGGGAAACCAUCUUCACUCCAUUUUAGCAUUUUUCUUUUUUUGACUUUUAGCUAUGAUUUGAGAAAACCGUUAACAAUAGAUUCGAGGGCGGUUAAUUAGGAAGAUUAGUUUUGAUAGAUAAAAAAAGUAAAAUUCAUUCUAUUAUUUACUUUGAUGGAUUAUAAUUUUGAAAUAUCCCAAGACCUUAAUUUGAUUAUUUCUAUUAUUCAAAUUAUUUUUAUUUGAUUCAUUUUUCAUAAAAAUAGUUAAUCAUUCACAUAAUCAAUACAUGCUAAAGUUGGCCCAUAAAAUUCAGGUUCAUUUGAAUCCCGCGCAUGACAAAUGAAAAUUUAAAAUGCCUAAUUCUUUCUUUAUUUUUAUUAAUUGAGUUAAUUUUUCUUUAUUUUUAUUUUGUUAACAUAAUUUAUUCUUUCUUACAUUUAAGAAAAUUGGCUUAUUUCCCUCCAAAAAAAGAAAAAAAGAAAAUUGACUGAUUUUAAAAUAUCCAACACACCUAUAAAUUAAAGAUCUUGUUGAAGAUGUCAGAGGAGAGAGACUGUGUUAUCGUUAGGAACUUAGGAUUGAAAACUUGCUUCAUCAUUUGUCUAUACUUCUUUCACUCCCAAUGCCUAUCGAAGCUAAAGUAGAUCAACAUCUAAGGCUGGAGGAAAACAACUUUAAUUUGGUGUUGCACUCAAACAAAGUAAUUUUUCCAAGAACUUUCCUACAAGAGAACUCAAUUUUUUUUAAUCAAUAGUUCAUUUUUAGGGUGUGCUCAAUUUGAUAGAUAAAUUUAUCAUGGGAAAAUAAAGUAUAACAAAAAUUUAUGUCUUUAAAAAGUCUUUUUUUUUUUUUCAGAAGUUCACCAUUUUUUCUUUCUUAUUUUCACUUCAAAGAGAGACAACAUUAUCUCUCGAUCUUGGUGUGGUAAUAUUAUCCAUUUUAAAGUGAAAAUAAGGAAGAAAAGGUAGAGAACUUGAUCUCUUUUGUGUAAAAUAUGGGAAAAGAAAUGAGACAUUUAAAAUUAUAAAUUUUGGUCAUUAAUUCUUUAUUUUUCCAUGAUAAAUUUAUCCAUGUGAACGUACCCUUAGGGUUAAUUAAUUCAUCGUAACUAAAUUCCAUUCCUAGCGGUAAGAGGGGAUUUAGGCCAUAUAUAUAUGCACUUGUAGGAAACCAACAUGAAAUUUCCAUUUCUUAAUUUGCCAAUGCCGACUAGUAGGAAAGCAACAUGAAAUUUCCAUUUCUUAAUUUGCCAAUGCCGAUUUACAAUUUUUUUUUUCUUUUUCUCUAAUAAAAAGAAAUUAAAAUAGGAUGAAAUAGAACUAUAAAUAUACAAUUAAUCGAAGAAAUUAAUCAAAACCAAGUCUGUCUUUUCCUUCAUCCAUCAUGUUUCCGCACAUCUCUCUCCACAAUUCCGCCCCUUUGAAGUUGCUGAUUUUCUCUCUCAUCCUCUCUUCCUCUCUCACCAAAACUACCUCCGUCGCCGCCGUGCCGGGCUGCCAUGGAAAGUGCCUCGACUCCAACAUCCCUUACCUGUUGGGGAUGUUCGUGCUGGUUUCCCUCGUAAUUGGGAGCACUUGGAUCGUCUGGUCGAAGCGGCAAAAGAAGCUCGAGCACCAUAGAAUGAGCUUGUUCGAUAGAAAUGGCGGAAACAUAUUGAAGAAGAAGCUAUCCCAGCGCAAGAGAUCUGCGCACCUCAAAAUAUACACAGCUCGGGAAAUGGAGAUCGCCACCAACAAUUACAGCGACACCAGAUCGGUAAUGCAGAGGUGCAAGCCGGGGAAAUUCUACCGCGGAACCUUCGAGAACAAUCGAGAGGCCGUCGUGAUGAAGCUUCCGUCGCCGGUGCCGCAGUCGAGAAUCGAACAGUUCGUCGACGAGGUGAUCUUCCUCUCCGAGGCCCACGGGAAUCUGGUUAGGGUUUUGGGCUGCUGUUUGGAGACGAGCUCUCCCUUGGUAGUUUACGAGCUCCACGGCGACGGCAACCGCACCCUCGCCGACUGCUGCACGCGCGGCGGCGCGUGCGCUGGCAUCCUCCGGGCGGCGGUGAGGGGGCUCGCCGACCUGCGGUCGCGGAAUGCGAGGGCGGCGGGGUUCCUCCACGGCAACUUCUGCGGCGGCAACGUUUUGUUGGAUGAUUCUUUUGAUGCGAAGCUGUUCUACGCCGCCGCCUCCGGCAACCUCGUCGCUGAUCGAGAUCGUGUUGGUUUCGAUGACAAGGACGUGUGUAGCUUCGGAGCAGUGCUGGAUGAGCUGCUGUCGACGCGUCGGAGGGCGCCGGAGAGUGACGGGGAUCUCGCCACGUGGCUGCUGUCGGAAGAUUCGGAAGUAGUUUAUGUGAAGGAGGUUGCCGCCAUGGCUGCGAGAUGCAAGAGUGUGCUGCCGGAGGAGAGGCCUACCUUGUCUGAAUUGGAAGCUACGCUUAGUAGAUUGAUUGGAAAUUUAUAGAGCACAACUAGUUGCUAAUACGUUUCUGUUAUGCUAUUUUGUAGCCUUAAAUCAUAUUUGACUAUUUGUAAGCAUUGAUUCCAUCGUGUACAGUUUUAAAUAGAGAAUCAGAUCUGAUCAAUGAAAAACAGUUUCCAUUUCCACUUUUCAUAUUCUUAUUCUCUCAUGGCUACUGUUCAGCCAUAUUUCCCCUCGAUCCACCUAAAGAUUUGAGGAUGUGCUUCUUCUCCCAAUAUCGCUCCGCUGCAAUUCAAAAUUCGGACUUUGAUAUGGCUACGUUAUGAUCAAUUUAUUUUCAGUUGGAUUCUUGCUGCGAUCUCUCAUUCAAUGAUCGGAUAAAAAUAAUUUGAAUAAUAGAAAUAAUCAAAUUCAAAUUCAACUCCAGACGCUAGUGAUGAUUAUAUUUUGAAAUUUCGAGGCAUUUCUGAUCAGUUAUCCAAUAUUGGUCAACAAAUUGCAGAAACUGAUUUUUAAAUACCCAUGUCCCAAAGAAAUAAGACAUUUAUAAUUGAAGUAAUAUUUUAUUUUAAAAUAAAUAUUAAUUCAAUAAAGAAACUAAUAUUAGGAGACAAAUGAUUGGACAAAGAGUUGGGACAUCUGAUUCUAACGAUAGGACAAUAAAGAAACUAAUAUUAGGAGACAAAUGAUAGGACAAAGAGUCGGGACAUCUGAUUCUAACGAGUUUCCUGAGGGUUAUAGGGUUUAGGAGUGAGAGGAUUUUUUAGGACAGUAACUUAUGUUAAUUUGGAAAUUAGGACAAAAACUUUUUGACUUGUAAAAUUUUUUUAGAGUAAAAUAAGACACUAAUUAAUAAGCGUCGUAAAAAUAAGACAUUUCUCGGCCGAGAAUUGGUCUGACAAAUGUCCUGCGGGUGCAACACUUAUUAAUUAGUGUCAUAUUUUACUCUAAAAAAAUUAGUGUCCUAUUUUUAUAAGUCCGAAUGUUUUUGUCCUAAUUUUCAAAUCAACCUAAGUUACUGUCCUAAAAAACUCUCGAACUCCUAGGGUUUAGUACAGUACGUAUAAAAGUAUAAUAGCACAUCUAUUAUUAUUUUUAGGGGUAUUAGCCUAUAAAUAUCCGAACUUUUUCUAUUUUCUGAUUUUGCACCCUAACUUUAAAAUUUGCCUGAAAAUACCCGAACUUUAUAUUCUUUCUGAUUUUGCACCCAACGAAUUUUCACCCCCAAAUCGUUAAUAAAAUGGCAGUCGGAUUGAGAGGCAAGUUUGAAUUUCAUAACGAAACAAAUAAGUUUAUUGUCAAUUUGAGAUCUAAAACAUGUAAUUGUAGAUUUGAGAUGUCAAUCCGGCUAUCAUGUUAGCAACAAUUUCGAGGUAAAAUUCGUUGGGUGCAAAAUAAAAAAGAAUACAAUGUUCGAGUAUUUACAGAAAAUUUUUAAAGUUCGGAUGCAAAAUAAGAAAAUGGAAAAAGUUCGGGUAUUUAUAGACCAAUACCCUUUAUUUUUAUAUGAAAGGCGAUGGUAAAAAGAAUUACUAGUAACUACUCCCUCCGUCCCACUCCAAUAUGCUCGUUUUCCUUUUUGGGACGUCUCACUCCAAUAGGCCUAGUCUAAAAUUAGAAAUAAUUAGGGCUCUAAUUAAAAUUAUAACUAGUUACUUAAAGGGGAUAUACACCCCUAAUUAAAACCCUAAAAACUCUCAUUCACGUUUUCCUCCCACCUCUGCUCAAAAUUCUUUGUCGCCACUUCCCAAAAUUUGGCGACUGGUCGCGCCUCAACGGCUCUGAAACUCCGGCCUCUUUUCUCAUUCGGCCCUCUUCCCGAUUCUCCAGAAAUUGCCCACCGGAACAAGCCCUAACUCUAGUAACCUCAAGUGGAACUCAAUUUGGAGCCCUAACUCUCCCCUCUUCCUCAAUCUCAACGGAAACACACAAUUGUGGGAAAAAUGUCGAGCCCCAACUUCUCCGAUCGAGCCUCUCUCUUUCUUCCUCUUGGUUCAGGCAAAGUCGCCUCUGUAACUUCGGACGAAGUCGACGCCGCUCUUCGGCCUGUGAAAUUGUGAAAUUCGCCUCAAUAAUUUAACCUCUUAUUUUUCUAUUUUAUUUCUUUUUUAAAAUUGUGAAAUUCGACUAAUUAUAAAAUAUUUGAUAUGUAUAUCAAAUUAAAGAUCAUGACAAGAGCUUUAACUUGGUAUAAGUUAUGUAAAUAUUGGAUUUAAAAUAUAAAAAUUAUAUUUAUUUAAAAAUUAAAACUUAAGAAAUUUCUCCCCUCCUCCUCCUCCUCUUUUUUUUUUGAAUAAUCUAUUUUUUUUCAAUUUUUUAACUUAUAUUUUUUCUUUUUUACAAUAUCAAUUUUUAUAAUAUGAAUUAUUCUUUAUUAUUUUUAUAUUAAACUAAAUUAUUAUCUUAAAUUAUAGUAUUUUUAAUUAUAUUUAGAUUUUAUAUAAUAAUCAAAUUAAUAUAAAUUUUAAAUAUAAUAAAAUAUAAAAAUAUUUUUCGUGCGUUGCACGAGUGUAAAUGCUAGUUAAUAUAUAUUUUAAAAUUUGAAUUGAUAUAAAAGUAAAUCCAGCAGCCAAAAGGAGUGAAGUGAUCCAAGCUAAUUCGAAAAUCGAUUCGAGAGAAAUGCGAACUUAAUUUCGAAAUACUCGAAGUAAAUCUGAAAAUUUAUCGAAUCGAGCUCGAACUCAAGAUCAAACUAUAUUUGACAUUUGAAAAAUAAGGAGGCACGAUAGAACAUACAACACCAUGUAAUUAAUUAUUUGGUACACGAAUUUAUUUAAUUAAACGCUUAGAGCAUUACUAUAUAACAAUAACAAGAUCAAUGAGAAAGCCUCCGUCAAAAGAAACAUCUCAACAAACUCAUCCAGCAAAAAAUGCAAUAAAAUUGUUUUAAAAAUGGAUAAUUUUCCAAAAAUUCAUCAUCUUUGAGACAACUUUGUUGACACUAUAUUUAAAAACAUUCCAAUAAUAAAAACAAAAUAAAAAAAGCCAAUAUUCAUUAGUAUUUAUUAAGAUUAAGAUAUACAUGCAAGCUAAAACACACAACAUGUUAAUUUACAUUGCAGAUAAGAGCAACCAUUUCUUGUAAGAAAGCAUAGAAACAACUGUAUGAAAAAUGGUUAGUAUGAGAAGCACAGCAGCUGAUAUCUUCAAGUAAUUCCUCCUCACUCUUGCCAUCCAUCUCCCACGUCGAAGCCGUUUGCAUCUGUUCAAACUCUCAAACACAUUUGAAUAGCAAAAAUCUGAUGAUGAACCACAACAUUCUUCCCCAAUCUGUUGAACAUGCUGCAGAUCAUCUCAUCACUGCCUAUGAAGUUGCUGAUGACCCCACUUCGUCGUAGUAUCUCAACAUCUUUGGUGGAUCUGAUGAAACAAUGUAUGAAAAACAAGUAAUCUUUCACAUACCUCGGAUGAUCAUCAGGGAAGAAGCAGAGCUCGUACGCGAUCAAGUUCCUCAACAUGGACUCAGUCUUAUCUGAUAUGCACAAUGUGGGAGUUUAUGACUCCAUUGGCAAAACUGAUAUCCUU
rnacentral:lncRNA from 1 species